AUCUCUUCCUCCUCCUCCUCCUCCUCCUCCUCCUCAUCUCUGAUACAAAAUCAUCAACCAAGUUUAAUUUCAGCUUAACAAUGGCGCCUCUCCCCCGAGCUUCACCUCUAGGGUUUCGCCCUGCGGCAGAGCACGUCGGAGAGUUUCCUCUUUGUGCUCGUUUGUAGCCCCCAUGUGCUGCUCCAAGAAUGAUCAUGGUGAGGUGAGAUUGAUUUAAUCCAUUCCAUCCUGAUUGGUUCCUGGGCUUAAUUAGAAUUAGGUCAUCCUCGGGUGCUUAUUUUGCGGAUUUUUGUACAUUAUAUGUGAUGUGCUCUGGCUAAUUCUCGGUAUUUUGUGAUUUGCAAUGAAGUAAUAAGAUAGUAUGUUCCAAUGGAGCAGAUCCGUAUCAGUAGUUAUACCUUCAUUCAGAUAUAAAUAAACUAUGUUUAGAUUGUCCAAAAAUAUUUGUAUGAUCAUGAAUAAAUGAUCAAGGAAAUUCUUGAAUUAUAGAUGGUGUGUUGACCUGUUUUUCGGGAUAAAUGGUGGUAUAAUGUGAUAUGUUUCUAGAUUGGGAUCUCAUUCCCUUCCCCCUUAUCUAUCUCUAUCUCUCUAAUAUCUUUUUCUUAGGAGGUUCGAUCCUCUCGAAGUGAUCGUUUAUCCCUAUUGAUACAAUAGAAUCGUAUCAUAAUGUUAAUAAAGUAGCGGAUUAAGUUGUCUUUGUAUUUUCUUCGAUUUUGGAUGACUGUAAUUAGAUUAUAUUCUGUCAGGCGGAUGCAGGUCAUGUUGGGGAUGCUGAAGUGGUGUCUGUGGAUCCGACUGGUAAUUUUGUUUGCGGCACAUCGUAGCUUUGGUCAUUUAUUUUAAAUCUUAAUGAUAUUUAUGUUAACAUUGUUUAUCACAUUUUUUACCCCUUUUUUUUUGUUUUUAUGGUUUCAGGUUCGGAGCAGUGUGGUGGCAAACAAUCUAUUCGAUCAUUUUCAUCGAAAGAGUACUCUUUUCUUGCUGUAAAUACAAAGUCUACUGUAGACAAAAAUUAAGGGACUAAGGGCUUGAUUUGGUGUUGUUGCCGUCUUUUCAUUCUUUUGAAUACGUAUUCUGUGUGAUCGGACCUGCUGGGCAGAUGCACUUUCUCUACUCUUUUUAAUGUUGGUUAUCUGGUGAUUAGAUGUAGAACGGCAUGUUGUUCGGAAAACCAGAGAAGGGAAAGUUGCUAUGAAAUAUUGCUUUUUGUUGCCAAAUCUUGUAGAUGUAUAGAUUGCAAGCAGUCAGUCUUCCACUGUCACAUUCCUUUGCAUAAGAUUUGUGUUAACAAAAAAACAACAAAAAAGGCAGCAGUACUACGUGAGACCUAAAUUCCUGACUCUAUAUUUGAAUUUGGUGAACUGCAUUGCAGAAAGAACUCAUCGAAACUUUUAGGAGAGAAGAUUGAUUUUUAUGCUACUAAUAAAUAGGGUUAUUAGAUGAGCUUACGAUCACUUGUGCUGGUAGAGGAAAUGUGACUCAUUGAUCUAAAUGUGGUAGAAGACUGUUGAUAUGUUAGGACAAGGCUUAUUUUGUUGUGGUUAAUAUUGUAAAUAGUAGUAAUCAUCAAUCUCAGUCAUCACAUAAGUCCCUCAAGAUAACAAGGUUCAUAUAUUCUGUCUCCACUUUAAUUCCUCUUCUCCAACUUGUUAAUAUUUAUAGUGGGUCCUCUUUGCAAUAUGGAUUAUUCCGUGAGAAACUAAGGAGGUUAAUUGUAAUUUGGACUCCAUGGACUCCAUUGUAUCAAACUUUAUUGAAUUUCUUCUUGCAUUUCGAUAUGCUUAUUCAUUUAUAUCGUUGAAAGUUUGAAGAUUUCAAAGCCUUCUUUUAGUUGUGGAACUCAUGUCAAUUUGUUUCGAUUUCCAUUAACCACAUGUUUUGUUUAUGUCAUUCAAUUGUAUAUUACAAGAAUGAGUUUUAAGUGUCCUGUGAUUACGCACAGCUAAUCUUGGAAAAUGAAAUUUUGGACUGUCUAACUGGAGUACAAAUUCAAUGUUCCUCAGGUUGCUGCAGAAGUUAAAGAGAUAUGGUACUGCAGGGGUAUUAUCGUAUGGGCUACUUAAUACUGUAUAUUACCUCUCAACUUUUCUCUUGGUCUGGUGAGUAAUAUUUACUAGAUUUUUAUAGUUCUUCAUAUACCUCUGAACAGCAGUUUGAGUGCUUACAGCAUAUAUAAUUGAUACUUGCACGGGGAGAUCUAAUUAAAUGUUGAACUCUUAUGUCUCCGAAUCUGUGCUAAUUGUUUAAUAUACCAAUAUGAGAGAGAGGAGUGGGGGGCUGUAUUGUCAUUCCAGUGCCAUCUAUUAGAGGUCUUUUUCCCCCCUUCUCUUCAAUCACUCGCAAUAUUUUGCUUUCCAGGUUUUACUUUGCUCCAGCUCCUGGUAGGAUGGGCUAUGCUGCAGCUGUUGACAGGUUAUGACUGGAAUAUUUUUACUGUUCAGGUCAUAUUCUAGAAUUCUUACUAUCAACUAAUGCUUUCCUUCGUAAUACAGAUUUCUCAAAUUAAUGGCGAUGGUGUGGGCCGGCAGCCAAGUAACCAAAAUCUUACGAGCAGGAGGGUUCGUUCAUAGUCCUUAUUUAUUGACAUCUAGUCUAUUCUACUGAACACUAUAUAUUCUGAGAGAGAAUUGUAUUUCUGGUCAAACCCAAUUAUAAUGUCCAAUUAAACAUAAAAUUGUUUUUUCUUGGUUAUCCUUGGAUGACGCUGCAUAACCCAUUGAUUGGAAAAGGUUACUCCCACUAAAUUUACAAUCAAAGCUAUUCCGAAGGAUUGAUUUGCUUUUAUUCACUAUGCUAGGGCACUUGCGCUAGCUCCUUUUGUUGACAGAGGAUUGUCAUGGUUCACAGUCAAGUUCAAGUUUGAGUCUGAAACAAAGGUGCAAGUUAGAUCAAUGUACCCAUUUUUUAUUGAAGCAUUUCAUCUAACUUUUCUCUACCCUUUCAGGCAUUUGCUGCGAUCGUAGGUCUAUGUUUUGGACUGGCCCUUCUCUUGUUCCUGGGGUUGACAUUGCUUUGGGCGUAGACAUUCAAUUAAUAAGGGGAAUCACUUUGAGAUACAUUACGAAUUAAGAAAUUAUUUUGUUGCGUAAAUUUCUCAUGUUUUUGGUAGUAGAUGAUUGUCAAUGUUACAUUAUAUGUAAUGUUCAUUAUAUUGCAACAAAUAUUGUAUUAGUGUCAUUAAACAUCUUCCCAAUUUCAGGUGAGGAAUCUGGAGGUAGAAAUUUAUGCUGUUUUCUAUUUCGGAAAAGCUGACCCAAGGAAGAAAAGAUUGUUUUCAGUAAAUUUAUUAUCAAGCCUAGUAUUAUUUCUGCACCUUUUUGGUUAAACUUCGGGAAUUGUCAAACUUUGAGAAGGUCAUGUAAUUUUGGAAUGAUACCUAUCAUUACAAAUUGUGGUGUACAAAAUCAGUUUGAUAUAACUUGUAUGUAUAAAUUAUUUUAUUAGCUGUUGAUCUCUCAGUAAACCUCAUAUCAACAUCGAAAACUGUGAGGACAAAAUUAUCGAUGUAAGAGGGAUAUCUAAAAACGAAGAAAUUUACUUUGUUUAAUAUCUUUGUUUUUUCACCUACGGCACUGUUACAUUUAAGCAUCGAGUUACAGAAAUAGUAAGUUUUUUCAUCUGCAGUAAUUUUACAUUUAGUUUUGAAUUCAAAAUAUUUGUAAUGUUUGUCCGUUGUUUGAUGGACAUUUACCCAAUCCCGCUCUUUUGGAUUCUUCUUGCGGAUCCUCUCUUUUCUUUGAUAUCUCUCAUGCUUCUUAACCCGUCGCCUGUUAAGCUUUCUUAUCUUAUUUCAUAAAUUGAAUUUUUGAAUUUUUUAUUAAUAUUUAAAUACUAUUUAUUAGAAUAUGUAAUUAGGCUGUAAUGUUUUUCAUAGUACUAUGUAAUUGAUAUUUGUAGAUCUUCGGCCUUUGGAUGAAAAACUGUGGGGUUAGAACAAUAGCGAUUUUUUUAGGAUUUAGUGGUGAUUAGUGAAAUAGUAAUGAUUGAUAAAUAGUCAAGGGGUGGAUCUAAUGGAUCUAAUGGUAAAAAAAUUAGUAGCAUCUAAGUAUUUAGUAGUAUUAGAAACACUUUAGUCGUGCUUUUAAAAUAUAUAAGAUUUUGUUUGGUAUUACAGGCCAGCUAAUACUAUAGAAUUAGAUAGAAUUGGGGUAAAAAAUAAUAAAAAUUAAAAUAAGUUACCACUUACAAAAAUUGAAGUACGUUAUGCUCCUCUUAGCUCUAGUGCAAGGUGUCCAUGAGACCGGGUAAAAGUUUUUUUUCUUUUUUCUUUUUUUUGCUGCAUUGUCUAGGCUCUGCUUCAUUCCGCUUCUUUUGGGUAAGAAUCAAGCAGGCCCAUUCAGAUCCAUAUUCUACAUAGAAUUGAUCAAAACUUGUUUGUUUGUUUGCUCAUUUAGCCUAUUUUAAGAUUUUAUAAAUCUAAUCGACAAAGUUAUAAAUGAACUAGAACUUAAACCACACAUCUCUUCAUGUUAGAUUUUGAUUUAAGUUUAUAGUUAUCUAAAUUGAAAAUAAAUUCUACUCUAAUUAGAAUAAACUUGGACUAUAUAGAGUAUAAGUGAGACUCUAAUUCAACUAGAGAUAGAAUUUGGCUUACCAUUUUAGCCAUAUAUUAUAUAUACAUACUAUGGCUAAGUUAAUAAAGCCGCAACUCUAAUUAAUUCGUGCUUUAAUUAUAUAGAGCUAAUUACGUUGUUAGUAGCCCUUUCAUAGGGAGUAACAACCUAAUCAGCCGGUGCACAUUGAACAGAGUCUUCUUUUUUUUUUUUUUUGAGAGAGAGAUAGGUAGCACACUACCCGCUUCGUUUAUUUUAUUUAGAAAUAAACUUAGCUUGAAAUGUGAAUCAAUUAGGAUUCGAACUUGGAUCUCGGGUACUAACCACCAAGCCCUUUGCCAUUCAACAUAGUCUUGAAGUUUAGAUCCAUCUAGUUUGGUAGCCAAACUAUAUAAAUUUCAUUAUAUUUUUUUAUUUUCUUUACUUGCGUUAAUUUUCUUGGAAAUUAUUUUUCACUGUUUCAAAUUUAACACCUGGAAAGUUAGAUUACAAAAGAAUAAUAUUUGACAAGUUUCUUUCUUUUUGUUGUAAACAAAUAAAUUUGGGCUUCAAAUCUUCCCCGUGUGUAUAUAUAUAUAUAUAUAUAGAUAAUGUUAGUGCAAUACACGUUAUUAAUUAUUAGAAAAGUUUAAUUUUUUUAAGUAUUUUUUAUUUUAGCGCAACUUUUAUAUGAUGCAAUAAUGUAUUUAAAUCUGUAUCUAAAAAAUUUAAAAUUAAAAUCCGCUAUUAAGAAAGAUAUGUAUUAAAUAGAAUAAUUCAACAAGUAAUCUCUAAUCAAAAUUUAUCUUUUGAAAAUAAAUAGAAAAACUAAAAUAUAUUAGGAAAAUAGAAAUUUGAAUUAAAUAGAAAAAUAAAAUCCGUUAUCUUAAAAGAAAUUAUUUUUAAAAUAUAAAUAGAUAAUAUCUAAAAAAGUAUUAUUAAAAUAAAUAAGAAAAUAUCUUUUACAGGAUUUUCACAUCCGUAAUUGUAUAUAGAAAACUUACUUUUGAAAUUAAAUCUAUAAAAAAUUAUAUUGUAGGAUUUUCACAUCAGUAUUGUUAUGGAGAGAUUUACAUAUUGAUUACGUCGGUAUUUCUAUAUUUUAUUUUAUAUGUUUAAAUUUUUCGUACGGAAAGAGAAAAUGAGGCGCGAUAUUUUUCCGCCCGAAAAAAUGGUCUGUCGACAGACCCAAUUUGAAUAUACUGUUUUUAUAUAGUGUACUCUAUAUAUAUAUAAUAUAUUUAUAUAGGAUAAUAUAAUAUACUAUAUAUAUAGAAUUAGGCUGGAAUACAUUAAUAGUAAAAUGCUCUUUUUAGCUAUCAAGUUUUUACUUGGAGAUGAAAAUUGUAGGGUCAGGAUGAUAUUAGUCAGUUAUAGUUGAGUGUCCCUAGGUUGAGUGGUGCUUCACUGGCUUUAAUAUUUAAUCUAAUGUUUAGAAAUAAUGAAAGAGUUGAUCAAAGGCCCUAGGAAACUGGUAGAACAAUAAGAUUUUGCUACUAAUAGACCAGUCCAACUCUAUAUAUAGUAUAUAUAUAUAUUAUAUAUAUAUAAUAUAUUAUAUAUAUAGAUGUUGAUAUAUAUAGGUAUCUAACGAAUGAAUGAUCAAAGGGUAGAUUUACGGGUAAAAAAUUUGCAAGCACUAGUACUUGAUGCUUGCUUACAAGCACAAAUCGGCGACUCUAGUAUAGGAAUUGGUUUCUUAAUCCUAUUGAAAGAUAUAGUUUUGUGGUGUUGUGAUUUUUGGCCAUCGGAUUAAUGGAUGUACUGGUUGAAUGAAUUGUUAUGUGUGACUCCUAGGGUUGAAGUAGUUUUGUGUUAAUAGUAUAAUCUAAGGAUGGAAAUGAUCAAAGAGGUAGAUCUACAUAAAAAAAUUUACAAAACCAAGUGCUUGUGCUUUUACAAACACCAAUACGGAUUCUAUUAGCGAUGAGCUUCUAUGCUUUUAAAAGCACCAAAUUAUUGAUGUUUGGUAGAUUUUUGACCAUUGAUAGGGUUUUACGUUAUGAUUGAUAUGGUUCCCCUAGGUUUGAGCAGGGUUGGUUGCAAUAGUUAUGAAUUAAACGUGAUUAAUGAUCAAAAUGAUAGACUAUAACGGUAAAAGACAAGCACCAAAUGAGUUGAUACUGUACAAGCACCGUAGCGAACUCUAUAUAUUAGCAUGAUUUAGGAGACAGUAAGAAUGUAUUUGUUGACUUGAGGCAUAAAAUGGAAUAAACACUUUAUCCUUCUAUUCAUCUAAACACUGCUAAGAGCGAGGGAGUUUAUUUAUCCCUCUUAACGGUCGAAUAACCCUUAAGAGGGGGAUUUGUUGUUACACCGUUGGUGAAUACAAAAUUUUCAUCUUGUAUACCGUCUGACUGCUUUAAUAUAAAAUAAUUUAUAUUAACUAUAUGAUAUUAUAUCAUUUAUUAAACUAAUUAGCUAAUUAAAAUUAACUAAUUUAAUAUAAAUAUUAUCCAAAUUAAUAUUGUUAUUAGUGCUGUUAUACGAAUAACGCUAUAUCUUUUGUAUUAAUAAUUAAUAUUUCCAACAAACUAAUUAAUGUAAUUAAGUUAAUUAAUUAAUUUAUAAUAUAUUUAAUGUAUUGCCUAAUUUGACUUUAUUAAAUAUUUAUUAGUUAGAUAUUUUAUUAAUUAACGAGUACCAUGGUUAAUUGAUUAAUGAUUAAUUAAUCUGGCUUAAUUGAUAUGUAUUAAUUAACAUUUAUGAUUUCUAAUAAUAUUCGUGUAAUUAAUUUUUUAAGAUAUAAAUUUGAGAUUUUAAAAUUUUAAAAUUUAAUUUUUGAUUUUUAAAAUUUAAAGUUUAUAUUUUAAUUUUAAAUAUAAUAUAAAUAUAAAAUUAUCUAAUUUAAUAUAAAGAAGAAGAAUAAUGAUUAUUAUUUUAUUUAUAACUACGCCUUUUAUCUUAUUCCAUCUCACCUAAUCAAACAUAUUUUUCUUAUUUAGGAAUACACCCAAUGUUCACUCAAACGCAAAAUUGAUCUAUCCGCUUAAUACCUCAAUUAUAUAUCGCCGGAAUAACCCCUGUUUUGCUUUUCUCCGAACACUACGAUUAAGAAUCCUAUGUAAUAUAUGUGAAUUAUGUUUGGAGACCCAUCUAUGUUGAUUCUUAACUCUUCCUCAAUUAUUCAUUAUUUAAUUUUUUGACAAUGUUUGAGGCGCGGGUUUAAUUUUCUUUUCAAAAAUUACGGUAUUUUUAUUUAAACGAUAAAAUUUUAUCAGAUUGAUAGGUAUUUUAUCAAUUUUUUUCCUAUAAGUUCAAAUUAUUUUUAAUAAAUAAAAUAAAUUAAUUAAUAGUUAAGUAACAAGAAAUUUGAUAUAAAUUCAAUAAAAAAUAUAGAGUUGAGAAGUCAUUUGGGGGAAUGCAGGGUCAAGUAUUGCGUUUGAUUUGAGAAUUAAAUUUUGGAGAACAUCUUUUGUUGUUCUCGAGAAUAGAGGAUAUUCCGGUAUAAGUUGUAAAUUAUGUUUGGAUGUUGUUUGUUUAUUUUUAGAGAAUAUUCUUGAUAAUGUUAGGGUGUUUAUGUUGGAAUAAGAUGUUGAAAAUAUAAAAAUUAAAUAGGACGACAAAUUUGCAGGUAAAUAUAAUAAUUAAAUAUGAUUUAAUAAAUUAAGUAUUAGAAUAAAUUAAUAACAAAUUAAGUAUAUUUGUACAUUAUUUUGAAAAUAUUAAUUUAGUAGUAUUCAAUUUAAACAUUUAUUUAAAUUUAUUCAAAAUUAAUUUAAAAAUAUAAAUAUUUAAAAUGGAGUAACACUUAUUAAAUUAAUCAUUCAAUCUAUUUUCUUUUAUUUUAUUAAAUUAAAUAUUGAUUUAUAAUUUUUUUUGUUCAUUUGAGGCAAAGGAUUUAAAGGGCAAAAUGGAAAGUUUCAGAGGAAUCCAAGUUGUUCCGUCCAGUUCUCCCAACUGAGGAGAAUAGGCUUAACGGGUUAUUUUUGGAACAACUCAUUAAGCUGGGAACAAAAAAUUCUUUUUUUUUAUUUUCUUUUCGUUUGGGUAUUGAUUGAGGAAUAUUCCAUUUUGUUUUGGAAUAUUCUCCAACCAAACGCAACCUUAUAUAAUACAUAGGCUUAGCUCCACGUCGAUUGUGAAAUUAACCCAAGUCAAGAGGCAGUCCAUAUACUGCAUGAGCCGAGUUCCUUGCUCCCUCGUCCUUAGGUAUAGAUCAGUAUUUCAAUAAAUAAAUUUUUUUGUUUGCUUUAUUCUUUUUUUUUCUUUUUUAUAUUUUUUAUCUGACAAAUUAGAUUUUUUUAUAUUUAUAAUAUAUAAUUUGCAGCUGGUUAAAUGUUCUGUUUUUCCAUUUGUCCCUAAGCUAAUAUGCAGAUUUGAAUACAACAUAUCUAUAAAAAAAAAUCGUCUAAUUAUAUUAUGCUAGAAUUUCUAAUCCAAUUAUAUUAGGCAUAUAUAAUAUAUACUAGUAUAGUGAACCGCGCGUUGCGGUGAAUAGAUAAUAUCCGAUAUUUAACUUUAGUUUUUGUACUAAAUUUUUUUAAAAAAAAUUAUAAUAUUUGACUAUUUUUGUUACUAUCAUACUUCAAACAUAAAGAACAAACAAAAAGAAAGAAAAAUAAAACUAUAAAAGAAAAAAAUUUGAUGUAUGGAUAAUUUGAAGAAAUAUUUAAGAUCUUAUAAAAGAAGUUAAAGAAAGAAAAAAUAGUAAAUACAUAAGAAAAAUAAAAAUUUUUUAAAUAACAAACAAAUAAAAAUAGAAACAGCUAAAACAACAGUAGUAAGAGCAGCUAUAAAUACAAUGAAAUUUAGAAUUGUAGAAGUUGAAAAAAAAACUGCAAAAGUUGGCUCAAAGAAAAAUCAAUAGUCAGUAAAGAACGAAGGAAAGAAUGAAAUAAGACUAAUAGAAAAAGUUUUUAAAAAAUGUUACUAACCAACUAUCCCAAAAAUAUACGACUGCAAUAGUACAAAAAUUAAUAGUAGCAACAUAAAAACUUUUUCUAUUAGUCUUAUUUCAUUCUUUCCUUCGUUCUUUACUGACUAUUGAUUUUUCUUUGAGCCAACUUUUGCAGUUUUUUUUUCAACUUCUACAAUUCUAAAUUUCAUUGUAUUUAUAGCUGCUCUUACUACUGUUGUUUUAGCUGUUUCUAUUUUUAUUUGUUUGUUAUUUAAAAAAUUUUUAUUUUUCUUAUGUAUUUACUAUUUUUUCUUUCUUUAACUUCUUUUAUAAGAUCUUAAAUAUUUCUUCAAAUUAUCCAUACAUCAAAUUUUUUUCUUUUAUAGUUUUAUUUUUCUUUCUUUUUGUUUGUUCUUUAUGUUUGAAGUAUGAUAGUAACAAAAAUAGUCAAAUAUUAUAAUUUUUUUUAAAAAAAUUUAGUACAAAAACUAAAGUUAAAUAUCGGAUAUUAUCUAUUCACCGCAACGCGCGGUUCACUAUACUAGUAUAUAUUAUAUAUGCCUAAUAUAAUUGGAUUAGAAAUUCUAGCAUAAUAUAAUUAGACGAUUUUUUUUUAUAGAUAUGUUGUAUUCAAAUCUGCAUAUUAGCUUAGGGACAAAUUGAAAAACAGAACAUUUAACCAGCUGCAAAUUAUAUAUUAUAAAAAUAAAAAAAAUCUAAUUUGUCAGAUACAAAAAUAUGAAAAAGAAAAAUUUAAAAAAAAAGAAUAAAGCAAACAAAAAUUUUUAUUUAUUGAAAUUCUGAUUUAUACAUAAGGACGAGGGAGCAAGAAACUCGGCUCAUGCCUCUUGACUUAGGUUAAUUUCACAAUCCACGUGGAGCUAAGCCUAUAUAUAGGGUAUGUUUGACCCUCAUUCCCAAAUGACCUCCUCAACUCUUUUAUUAUUUUUUAUUUGAGUUUUUUUAUCAAAUUUCUUGAUUAUUAAUUAUUAAUUAAUUUAUUUUUAUUUAUUAUAAAAUAAUUUGAAUUAUUAAAUUUGAUAAAAUCACGAAUCAAUUGAUAAAAUUUUUAUCGGUCUAAAUUAAAAUUACUUCAUUUUGAAAAGAUAAAGUUAAACCGCUCUUAAUAAAUUAAUAAUAAUAAAGUUGAGGAAGAGUUUAAGAAUCAAACAUAUGUGAGGGGUUUCCAAACAUAUUCACGUAUAUUCAUUAUGUCUAAUCUAUAUAUAGAGUUUUGCUAUGAUACUUGUAAAAGCAACAAACAUUUGGUGCUUAUAAAUUUUUUAUCGACAUCAUCCAAACCGUACAUCCCUUAAUCCAAUGGUCAAAAAUCUACAAACAUCAAUAACUUGGUACUUUUUUUUUUGAAAGAUAGCUAGCACGCUACCUGCUUCGUUUAUUUCAUUUAGAAAUAGAAAUGUGAAUCAACUAGGAUUCGAACUUGGGANCUAUAGUUUUUUAACGUAUUUUAAACAAAAGAUCCAUGAAGUUUAUGAGAUCUAGUUCAAAUUGCCUCGGCUAGCUGCUAAGCUUUCAGCGUUGUAGCUUUUGCUCGACCUUCGUGCCUUCCGAGGCACGAAGGCUAUCGUAUCAUCGGAAUGAUAUAUAUAUAUAUAUAUAUAUAUANNNNNNNNNNNNNNNNNNNNNNNNNNNNNNNNNNNNNNNNNNNNNNNNNNNNNNNNNNNNNNNNNNNNNNNNNNNNNNNNNNNNNNNNNNNNNNNNNNNNNNNNNNNNNNNNNNNNNNNNNNNNNNNNNNNNNNNNNNNNNNNNNNNNNNNNNNNNNNNNNNNNNNNNNNNNNNNNNNNNNNNNNNNNNNNNNNNNNNNNNNNNNNNNNNNNNNNNNNNNNNNNNNNNNNNNNNNNNNNNNNNNNNNNNNNNNNNNNNNNNNNNNNNNNNNNNNNNNNNNNNNNNNNNNNNNNNNNNNNNNNNNNNNNNNNNNNNNNNNNNNNNNNNNNNNNNNNNNNNNNNNNNNNNNNNNNNNNNNNNNNNNNNNNNNNNNNNNNNNNNNNNNNNNNNNNNNNNNNNNNNNNNNNNNNNNNNNNNNNNNNNNNNNNNNNNNNNNNNNNNNNNNNNNNNNNNNNNNNNNNNNNNNNNNNNNNNNNNNNNNNNNNNNNNNNNNNNNNNNNNNNNNNNNNNNNNNNNNNNNNNNNNNNNNNNNNNNNNNNNNNNNNNNNNNNNNNNNNNNNNNNNNUUAGACUUGAUCUAGCGUAUUUGAAGUACCUAGAAAAUAAAUUAUGCAAUUUUUUGAUAUUAUUUGCCUAGUGAACGAAGGGGCUCAAAAUCAACGGCUGAAAAUAAAAAUCUUACAAAACGUGAUAAUAUGACGUUAAAAUUUUAGAUCACAGAUAUUGAUCUUGUUUUAUAUAGCAUAAAAAAUUUUCUAUCAAAAUUUCACGUGAUUCGGAUAUUUCUACAGCAUUAAACUUGCAAACGGCUCACUGCGAUCAUUAAAAUUAUUGAUUUUGAGCCCCUUCGAUCACUAGGCAAAUGAUAUAAAAAAAUCAUAAAAUUUGUUUUCUAGGUACUUCAAAUAAUCUAGAUCAAAUUUAACGGAGCCGAUCGACGAUUCGAAAGUCGCAACAUCGAAAACGAGCUGGAAGCACGGAAGGCUCCGUGCUUCCGAUAGUAUAUAUAUAUAUAUAUUUUAAAUUAUAAAAUAAAUAUUUAUAUAUUAUUAAAUAAAACUCUUAGGUCUAUGAUAAAAAUGAAAUUAAUUAAAAAAAAUAAAAAAAUAAACAUUCAAGAUGUGUCUAUUAUUAUUUUUUUUAAUGCAUAAAGAAAUUAUAAUGUUACUCGAAAAGUAAAUAAAAUUUGACCAAAUAAAUAAAAUCUGGGUGAGGUUAGAGAAAGAGAAAAAACUAAAAAAAAAAGGGAAAGAUUGGGAAAAAUAAAAUCUCACAAUAACCGGUGUAUGUUUUUUAUUUUAAAUUAAAUUUAAAUUUAAAUUUAAACUUAAAUAAUAAUUACUAAAAACUUACACAACGAAUCGAAAUAUAUAAAUCAAUCAUAUAAAAUACAUUAAUAACAUUAAUUUAUAUAAAAUUUUUUUUGAAUUAACAUCACAAAAAAAUAUUUUUACCUAAUAAAUAUAGAUUUAUUAAUAUUUUAUUUUUAAUUAUAAAUUAUGUAUGUUAGAUUUUAUAAAUUUUUAAUCCGUAUUUAUUAAUAUAUAAAAUUUCAAAAUAAUAUUAAUUUUGUGUUUGAAUAUUUAAAUGUUAGACUGGGCUUGCCCACAAUUCUAGUCGUAAUAACAAAUAUUAGUUUUGAACGUAUAAACUAUGUUAACUAGCGUAUACUUUUACAGAGAUUUUAAAAAAAUAAAUUAAUUGAUUUUAUAUAAUAAUAAAUGAAUAUUUUUUAUAUAAAUUAAUAAAUAAUUAAUAAAUAUUUCUUCUAUUUACUUAGGCAACGCUUCGUGACCAUGGAAUUGAUCAUAAUAUAAUUUAGAUUUAAAAAUUUCAUGUUUAAGUUUAUAUUGUAAUUUAAAUAAAUAUAUAUAUAUCUUAAUCCGACCUUAUGAUAAUUAUCAUUUUGCGAGAAAAACGAUAGUUCAAAAAUUGGGAACCUACUUUUUAACAUCCCAGUACUACUAUAAUCAGCCAAUCUCAACUCACCAGAGGGAUCCCAACUCACCAGGGGUGGACCAAUAUCAUAAAUUAGGUUACCAAUCUUUAUUACUUUUCUCAACUAGGUUUCCGAUUUUUUGACCAUCGUUGUUACUCUAAAACGAUGAUUAUCAUCGGGUCAGGUUGAGAGAGAGAGAGAGAGAGAGAGAGAGAGAGAGAGAGAGAUAUAUAUAUAUAUAUAUAUCACACUCCGACGAUAUNNNNNNNNNNNNNNNNNNNAUGCAUGCAACAAUAUAUAUAUAUAUAUAUAUAUAUAUAUAAAUCAAAGAACCGUUGGUAAGAAAUUUUUUUUUUUUUCUUUACAGCUUAAUGUUCACUCUUUUUUUCAAUAGUCUUACCCUCGUUGAUUUUUUCCAAUGGACAAUUUAUUUUGUCAUGAUUUGAUUAUGUAAUACCUAAAUUUAUAACCAAUGGGUUAAUGUUUAAAAUUGGUAUUCUAAACAAACUAAAUACAUAUACAAAUUUUUUUUGCAAAACAAUCAUAUAUAAAAGCAUUAUGAUUAGCAAAAAAAAAAUUAAAUAAUUAUUGUAAAAAUAUUUAUAAAUUGACAACCAAAUUAGAUUAUAUCAUAUAUAAUAGCAUUACGAUCAGGAUUGGGGAAAAAGUAAAAUUUUAAAUUAUUCACAGCAACAAAUUGGUAGGCAAAAAAAAAAGCAUAUACAUAAAAAUUAAAUCAGAGAACUUACAAAUUUUGAGACAAUUAAUCACGGAUCAACUGUACACAGAUAGUCAAUUUUCUGAGACAAAAUAAAAUUAUUCAGUUUUUUUUUUUUAAAAAUAAGUAGCCAAAUUAAAAUUCAAAUUGAAACAAAAUGAAAGGUGAAAACCAAAUCGGAGAAGAAAAUAGCACCAGUAGAGAAAUAGAGAUUUUUUACCGUAAAUAAAAAUUUUAUAGAGACAUAUUAUAUAGGCAAAAAAAAAAUCGCAUUCUACAUAAAAUAACCCUUCGGAUUCAACAAAUACAAAUAUUCGAUGAGUCGAAGGGAGCUUAGAGAAUGAAUCCGAACUAUUUUUGCAACCGAAUGGGGAUUAAUCGGUAGGAACUAAGCGUUGCUAAUAAAAAAGGUGCGACGGGAAAAAGGAUAGACAAUGAACUUGGCCCAAUUUUUUAUCUAGGAAGGACGCAUCAGGAGUCGGAGAAGCAUCUAGGGGGGCGAGCGGUAUCUAGGGAGGGCAAAAAAAAAUUGCAUUCAACAUAAAAUGACCCUUCGGUUUCAACAAAUAAAAAUAUCUGAAGAGUCAAAGAGAGCGUAGAGAAUGAAUCCGAACUAGUUUUGCAACCGAGGGGGAUUAAUCGGCAGGAACGAAGCGUUGCUAAUAAAAAAAGGCGCGACGGAAAAAAGGACCGACAAUGAACUUGGUCCAACUUUCAGUCUAGGGAGGACGCAUAAGAAAUUGGAGAGGCAUUUAGGGAGGCGAGCGGCAUUUAGUGAGGUAAUUUAGUAUAAUGAACUUAGUCCAAUUUUCUAUCUAGAGAGGACGCUUCAGAAGUUGGAGAGGCAUCUAGGGAGGCAAGCGGUAUCUAGGGAGGUAAUUUAGAAUGACAGGUAGGUCCCACAAAAGUCUAAAAUUAAGCUAAUAUCGUCACGUGGACAAAAAGGCAUGGAAAUUCAUAGGAGUUUAUAGAUGGCAUACAUAAAUGGCAUACAUAAAUGCCAAUUUUUUCGAAAGUUUGUAUGCAUUUAAUAAUCUAUAUGGCAUACAUAAAUGCAUAAAUUGUACACACAUGAAUCAUGCGUGUCACUGCUUUCUAAAAAAGAACAAUCCAAUUUAUAAAUCUAUAUGGCAUAGGGUUGGAAAAAUAUGCAUACGUAAAUACAUAAAUCGUACAUACAUGAAUGAGGCAUGCCAUCUCUAUCCGAAGAAGAUCAAAUUAUUUACACUUAAAAAUUUAACAGUCAUGCUUUUGGUGUUCAUGUAGCACAUCUAGAAUCAUAAAUGAUGCUUCGAUGUAUUGUCGCAGAAAGAAUCUAAUAAUAAACUCAAAUUAAAUCAAAAAUUUUGAAGUACCGGUACUAGUUUGCCAUAGUAUUGUUCAUGUAAUUGCUAUGUUCGCUGGUAUAAGAUGAAAAUUUUAUUGUUCAUGCAUAUGGUUCAAAACAUGUUAUAUACAUGAAACUUUUAACAGUACAUCAAUGCCCUAUAAAAAAACCUUAAUUGCCGUAAACUAUUCACCGCUUCUUAAAACUAACAAAUCAUUCAUCGCUUUUUCAUAACUCAUAAGUUUAUCACAUUCGAAUUCCAAAAAAUUUAUAUUAUUAAACUCUAAAAAUAAUUUUAAUAUUUUAAAAAAUGUAGUAAAUGAUUUAUUAUAUUUAAAAAGUAGUAAUUUAUUUACCACAAUAUAGAUAAAUAUUUUACUAAAUUAUUUUAUUGUUCAUGCAUGUGGUUCAAAACAUGUUAUAUACAUGAAACUUUUAACAGUACAUCAACUCCCUAUAAAAAAGGUUAAUUGCCGUAAACUAUUCAUUACUUCUUAAAAGUAAGAAAUCAUUCACCGCUUUUACGUAAUUUAUAAGUUUAUCACAUCCGAAUUCCAAAAAAUUGUAUAUUAUUAAACUCUAAAAAUAAUUUUAAUAUUUUAAAAAAUAUGGUAAAUAAUUUAUCAAAUUUAAAAAGCAGUAAUUCAUAAACUAUUUUUAUAAUAAUUAUAAUAUAUUUUACGUCUAUUAAUAAAAGAAAUUUUUUUUGCUAGAGUAAUAUAACGAUAAAAUAAUAGAAUAGUAAAAUAUUAGAAUAUUAAGUAACAUUGUUUUUAUCUAAAUAAUUUUUAUUAUAUGUUUUAUGUAAAUAUUUGUGGAAACAUGCAAUUUGGGACGACUUACAAGUGCUCGUACUGUCAAAGAGACGAAUUCAAUAGUCUCUCUUCUUUAACCUUGCAUGUGAACAAUUGUGCAUUGAGGCCCGGCGCCGGAGGAGUGCAGAAGCCAGAAAACGAGGGGAAUUGAGGGCGAAAUGACCGGGAUCAAGGGGCGCAGGAGCAAUAGAGCCACCCGGGCGUAGGGGUGGAAACGAGCCGAGCUUAUUUCAGCUCAAGCUUGGCUUGAAAUUAAUUUCAAUCCUAAAUUUAGGCUCAAGCUCGGCUUGAAAUUAAUUCGAGUCGAGCUCGAGCGAGCAUAACUUCGAGUCGAGCGAACUCGAGCCCUAAACGAGCCGCUUGAAAUUCUUAACAUCGUGCAAUCUAUAGUUUAAUUUUUAUAAAACAAUAUCUAAAAUUUGAUACAAAAAUAUCUAAUAGUUCAACAUACAAAAUAAAUGCAUGAAAUACGAUAUUAUAAUAUUAAAAAAGUAGGAAAAGUGACUCUGCGAGCAAGUGAAAAAAAGAAAGAGAGUAAUUAGAGUAGGAUUUUACUGGUUUGGUUUUGUUGGCCCAAUAAUUUAAAUUCUAUAUACAUAUAAUUAAAAUACAUAAUAUAUAUUAUUUUAUAUAAUUAAAAUAUAUAUUAUAUAUAAUUAUAUAUAUAUAGAGUCCGGCUACUAUAUUUUUAUAAGUAUAGACCCUUUAUACUCAUAAAUUUUCAACCGUUAGAUCUAUUCUUUUGACCAUUUCCAUCCUGUAACAUACCAGAUUUUGGUAUAAAAAUAAAAAUAAAUAAAAAUAGUGUUAGAAACUAUUUUUAUUGGAUUUGUAGGAGUAAAACAUAAGUCAGAAGUGACUUGUACUGAAAUCGGAUUGAAAACAGAAAAUCUAAAAUUUUCUGUUGGAAACGGGACAGAUAAAUUAGCAGAAAAUGCACAGUCUCAGAAAAUUAUGAAAAUUGGAGGAUAAGUCAGAAAUAUUUUUAUUAGGCUAGAUUCAAAGUUUCAUAUUUUUCUGACACCCGUAGAGUGAGAAAUAAAAUCCGACAGCUAUCUGAUAAAGAUUACAGUUCGGCACAAUUUUCGGUGACCAAAUGGGGUCGAAACUGAAAACUUAAGAUAUAUUCUUACUCAGUACAUUAAACUGAGCUUUCUUGUCAAAUUUGAGCUCAAAUGGACAUUCAGAAGGGCUCCAACUGUUCCGAACUGCUAAACAGCUGCCCGGAAGUGAAUAGUGUAAAAGUUGAGGGGCUGAUUUGUAAAAAGGGAUUUAAUCCCUUUUCUUCUUCUUCUCCUCAGCCGAAUGCGCACACACACACACGCCACACACACGCAAGGAGAGGGAGGAAGAGAGCUCUCCUUUCUCUCUCUAAAUCUCUCCCAAAAUUGAUGAAAUUGGAGGAGAAGCAAGCUUGGAGGUUGAUCUUCAUCUCUUUUAUCUUCUUCCUCUCCAUUGGAGCUUGCUUGCAAGGUAAGUUUUGAUGCCCUUUAAUGGUAUCUCUUUGUAGUUUGGGUUUUAAGCUUCAAGAAUGGAUUUAGAGCUAUUCUAGCAUGCUAAAGAGAUGAUUGUUGCUUAAAUCAUGGAUCAAUUUGAUGAUUUCUUGCCUAGUUGUAAACCUAGGGCUUGAACUGAGCUUUUUGAACCCUCUCAUGGUAGUGUUGGCCUAGUGGCCCUAAUCGUCUAUUAGAUUUUGAUGAUAACAAAUAAUCACGAUUAUUGGACUAAUCUUUUUAUCUUGAGUCUUGUGUUUUAGAUCUCUCUAUCUUCAAAAANGCUGUUGGCCUAGUGGCCCUAAUCUUUCAUUAGAUUUUGAUGAUAACAAAUAAUUACGAUUAUUGGACUAAUCUUUUAUCUUGAGUUUUGUGUUUUUGAUCUCUCUAUCUUCAAAAAGAAUUCAAGAUGGGCAAUAUUCUAGCACCUAGCUUCACCAUUUGAAGCUGUGUUUGCUUCUUUUAUCAAAUAAACAAACUCACUCUCUCUAUUCUUAAUUUGAUUAAUAUUAUGCUUUGAGUUAAGUUUAAACUAUUCAUCUUAUCACCUUAUAGAUCCCUUAAACAAAAUUCUAAAUUUAUGAUUAGGUGAAAAUGACUUUUAAAUAUUCAAAAAUUGCUCAAAUUCUGUGUUCUGUAAAAUUGCAAUUUCUGGACCCUGUUCUGGGCGCCCGAAAGUGGAUCCGAAUCUUUUGAGACCUUUUGGAUCCUGCCUGUUUGCUGUUCGGGUGAUUCAGAAACACAAAGACUGUUUGACUUGACAGGUUGCGACAACAGGCGGCGCAAAAUCUGGGCGCCCAGAUUUUACGGAAGCAGCGGCGCACGCAAUCUGGGCUGUUUGGCAAGAAAGUCAGCACGAGAUCUGGGCGCCCACAACUUUUGAUGGCUCGAAUCCAGAAAAACGGCGCAUGUCAGAAAAGUUGUCCCUCGAGAUCUGGGCGCCCACAUUUUCUGAUGGCCCAAAUCUAGAGGAAGCGGCGCGUGUCAGAAAAGCUGUUCCUCGAGAUCUGGGCGCCCACAAAUUUUUGACGGCCCAAACAUACAAAGUCAAGAAAAGCGGCGCACGUGGUCCGACAAGCAGCUGGCGUGCACAAACUUCUGGGCGCCCGGAAACAGUUUGUGGGCGCCCGAAAGUACAACUGCAGAUCUGUCCGAGGCUAUAAAUAGAUGGUAUUGAGGCCUCACUCUGCAGCAACUUGAUAACUCAUUUUUGAGCAUAAAAACUUCAGUGAUCUUAAUACUCUUAGCUAUCAAUUCUCUCUCUAAACUUGAGUGAAACUUGUAGUGAGAUUUAAUCUUGUAAAAAGAGAGAAAAGCAAAAUCUUGAAGCUUGAAAGAAGGAGUUGAUGUGAAGGCUUGGUGCUUGCCCGCAAAAGCAUCAUCUAGUGGAGAUCCAACAUUCUCGAGUGUUGAGAAGUUGGCGGGGACGUAGGCAAAGUGCCGAACCUCGAAACAAAUUGAUUGUGUGCUUUUCGAGUUUGCAUUUCUUUUAUUUGCAUCGUUUUUUUAAUUUGCUUGAUUAUUUGGUUUUUUUUUAUUUUAGAAACCUAAUUCACCCCCCCUCUUAGGUUGCCAUUUUGAUCCUCAGGUAGAUCUUUAAAGCUUCAUUAUAAUCCAUAGAAAUGGUUUAUUUGGAAUCCUAGCAUGCUAAAUAAAGGAUAAAUGCUACAAUCUAGGAUCAAUUUAAUUAAUUCUUGCAAUAGAUGAAGCCUAGGGUUCAAAAUGCAAGUUUUGUAAAUAUGAGGGUUUGAUCUCAUUUGACCCUCUGUAAACCUAAUUGCCAGGUAAACGAAUGCGUUGGCGAAGUCGGUUCGGCGAUUCGUUGAGCCGUUGCGAAGUUAUUAAAGAAACAGACGUUUAGGCUUCGUUUCCGCCUGGAGGGCCGAGGCGACAUCGUAUAUUCAUGAAAACGGAUUUGAAGCAUCGUGGCACAUAACCGAAGACCUUAAUUUUCGGAUCAUGAAUUGAAGGCCGUUCGGGUGGUCGCGCAAGAGAUCGGGCCAAACCGGGUGCCGGGUGCCGCUGGAGGCCGAUUGCAAGUGACUACAAGCAAUCGGAAUGCGUAAUGAGGUGGGUUGUGCUCACCGAAGCGACUAUGUAGCCUAUAUGUCUUAGAGUAAUGGUUUUCUAAUUGAUGCAUAUGGUUGAUGUUACUUACUGUUGAGAUAAAAUGCAUAAUGACAUAUAAUGUGUUAAAUGCUAGAUGAAUACAUGAGUUAAUUGUCACCUGAAUGCAUGAAAAUAAUGUUAUAGUAAUAUGUUAGAGGUAAUAUGCAUGUUGAUAAAUUAUGGAACAUGUUGGAUGGCAAAUGAAUGGUUGGUAUAUAUAUAUAGACAUAUUGUGGAAUAUGAGGAAUGAGUGCAUGUUGAUUUAUUAUAGAAUAUACUAGAUGAAUGUAUAUUGACAUAUUGUGGAUUAUGUUAAAUGACACAUGCAUAUUGAACUUGGGUCGAUAAACUCUAGGUGAAUUAGAGAACUCGACAUUGGAAAACAAUGACAUAUGAACUAUGAUAUGUGACGUAGACAAUCUAUAUAUAUUAGAUCGAGUGGCAUAUGAUUAAUAUAGUGGAAACACUUAUGGCAUGUUGAACAUUUAGAAAACAAGUAUGGCAUGAGUCCAAGAAUAUAGUAGUGUAUAUGACAUAAGUGAUAGUAAAGAAUGCAAAGAAAAGAAUGAUGAAAAUAUUAUGACAUUUCAAUCCUAGAGUUAGGGUCAUUUGAGCAUAGUCUUCCUAAAGUUAAGGAAUGGAUUGAACUUGACAUCCUCAAGAUUUUGGAUUUGAUCAUUGAUCAUACUCACCUUUAGUCCUUGCUCGAGGUUGUGGUAGCUCCCCCUCGGGCGAUGUGCUCCGGAGUCGACAUCACUGGGUUGUAGAGAGUAUCUCCCCAGAGGACGGUCCCAUCGGGUGUAGCGAGUAUCUCCCUGAUUAUUGGGAUUUUGAGUUGGUGAGUUUGUUGAGGGCGAAACCUUCGGGUUAGCCAAGAGAUUGGGUAACAAGCACAUGAGUUGUAAUAAUAUCCUAGUUGAGUAGACUUAAGGCUGAGGUGCAAGUGAGACGUCCUUCGCCUCGAGCCUGCCUUUGCGCGGUACUCCGCGAAUGAUUGACUCGAGACCGAGUCGGGUGGGUAGUUGAUAAAGGUAAAUGAGACCUUAUGAUUAAAAUGGUAAAUGACAGAAAACCUUAAAUGUCAAUUGGAUGAAAGUAGUAAUCGAUUGAAUUACUAAUUGAUUGUAUAGUCGCAUCAUUGUAUGAUCUUCAUAUUGUAUUCGUGAGGCAAUGCAUGGUUUCAUUUGUUGCAUAAUCAAGAUAUAUAUCUAUCUGUUUAUUGAACUAACUUGCAGUUGCCUCCCUUGGACCUAUUGGUCGAGCUUUUCCCUUGGGUGGCCGUACCUACUGGAAACCAUGGAGUUGGUUCUCACCCCACGUGGUUUUGGAGUGUUACAGGUUCACACGUGAGCGGCGCGGCGGCGCGAGGCGAGGGCGUAGCAUCAUAGUUAGCGCCCUACCACCGAGACCAGAGAUAGCGGUACCCUGAGUCGGCUUGUUUAGGAUCGUAGAAAAUGAAAAGAAUCAAGUUGUAAUAAUCAUGUUAAAUCGGAUUGUAUUUGGAAGUUGAAUGUAAUAAGUAUUUGGGAUGUAAAAUGUAUGAAUGUGAAUGCUUGUAAUAACAAGAUUAUGUUUUUGAUACUUCCUUAUGCAAUCUUUGAUUGAAAUGUGUUCCUGGUUGAAACUUUGUACAUUGUAUUGAUUGCGACGCCUUGAAUGUAUAGGGGAGACUCUGUCCGCGGUACCGGAAAAACCCUAUUCGUUUGGCGGUCUGUUACGGCGCCGCGACCCGGCCAAAUAGGCGGGCGGUCGUGGGGCGUGACACAUCCCUUAAAUCAUACUAUUCAACCAACCACCCACUCAAUCCUAGGGGACCACUAUCAUCCUAAUCGCACAUCUAAUGCCCGAAAAUUUAUAAGUAUAAAAGGGUCUAUACUCAUAAGAGUAUAGUAACCCUAACAUAUAUAUAUAUAUAUAUAUNNNNNNNNNNNNNNNNNNNNNNNNNNNNNNNNNNNNNNNNNNNNNNNNNNNNNNNNNNNNNNNNNNNNNNNNNNNNNNNNNNNNNNNNNNNNNNNNNNNNAAGAGAGAGAUCGGCGUUGAGUGUUAGUUUAGCGACUUUUUCGGUCAUAUUAGAAUUUAUUAGAGCUGUUGAUUUUGAGGUUUUAUUUGUGGAACUUGGGUUGGAUUUAUUUGUGAAUGUUGGGUUUUGGGAUUUACUCUUGUGGUUUGGAUUUUGAAUUUAUUUGUGACUUAUGUGUUUGAAAUUGUAUUGCUGGAUACUUUUGGGUUUGAAAUUUAUUUGUUAACUUGGGUUUGGGGGUUGGAUUAACUCCUCUGCUAUUUGAUUUGGGAUAACCAUUAAGGAUCUCAUAUUGUUUAAUACUUCUCGAGGUUGGUUUGGGCUGAAAUCCGUUAGACUUUGGUUCUGAACCCACAGACUUGUUUGGUUGAACACGUUAUGCUUAGGUUGGGAAUCAUCAAUGCUUUUUGAGUUUGAACCGACUUAUGACUUUAGCUUCGGUUCAUCAGAUUCUUCAUGGUUGGAUUUGCUGAGUCGGGUCCCUUCAUGGUUUUGUUCGAAUCGGAUCUCAUAUUCGAUUCGGGUGCGGACAUCCACCUUUGGUUCGAGCUCGCCAUCGCAUUGAACUCGAAUCAACUCAUAGUCGGUUCAAAUGUCGGAUCUUUGGUUCUGUUCGAUCGUGGACCUCUUCAUUUCGAUCGAUCCUAAUCGGGUGAACCGAAUCUCACGACUCGAGUCCUUUCAAGUUGAUCUUUUCGUUCACAGAUUGACGCUACUUCAUUCGAGUUGAUCUGUCAUGUUUGGAUUAAGCCACAUAUCGUUUCGAGUCGAUCCAUUAAUGGUCUUGUACUUGGAUUGAUUUACUUUGUUUGUGUUCUGACCGGUGUCGUCAGUUCGGAUUCACUUUAGGUUCAAGUUUGACUGUUCGGUCGUAUGACAGGGAUCUGGUUCGAUUCGGAGUCCGGUUCGGUUCAACUCGCAUCCUUUUCUCGGCUGUUGGAUGCGAUCCACUUGGUCGAUCGGAAUCGAUAUUCGCCUUCGGUAUCGAGUUUCAAGUCAAAUCUAUGAUUAUGGUUCAAGAAACGAACGUUCGGAUUCAACCGACAGAUCCUCUUGGUUAAUCGAAUUCCAUUAUGAUUUUGUCAGAACGGGAUCGGUUUCGUUUCAGCUUCGCGGUGACAGGUAAUCGUCUAAGUCGAAUCCUUUAUGAUCCGUUCAGUUCGAUCCGUUUCGUUCAGAUUCAAUCGGAUUCACCGCUUGGUUCAGAGUCGAUCUUUAAUGGUUUUCGGUUCGUUAGAUCCGUUCAGUUCGACAGAUCUCCGUUCACUUUAGUUUCAUUAAUCCUUUAUGGUUCUGUCCGGAUCGGAUCCGAUUCGGUUCGGAUCAGAUCGGAUUCACUUUAGUUCAAGUUGAAUCCUUUAUGGUUCUGUCCGGAUCAGAUCCACUUCGGAUCAAGUUGGAUCCAUUAUGAUUUGGUUCAGACGGGAUCCGGUUCGGUUCAGCUUGGAUCGGAUCCGCUUCGGUUCGAGUCGAAUCCUUUAUGAUUCUGUUCAGUUCGGAUCCGGUUCGGUUCAGUUCAGAUCGGAUUCACCUUGGUUCAAGUCGAAUCCUUUAUAGUUCGGUUCGGUUCGGAUUCGGUUCGGUUCGGAUCAGAUCGGAUUCACUUUAGUUCAAGUUGAAUCCUUUAUGGUUUUGUCCGGAUCAGAUCCACUUCGGAUCAAGUUGAAUCCAUUAUGAUUUGGUUCAGACGGGAUCCGGUUCGGUUCAGCUUGGAUCGGAUCCGCUUCGGUUUAAGUCAAAUCCCUUGUGGUUUGAUUCGGAUCGGACCCAUUUUAGUUCAGGUUGGAUCCUUCAUGGUUUGGUUCAAGUCAAACUAGCUUGUAGUUUGAUUUGGUUCGGUUAAUGUCUUUAAUGGUUCAAUUAGACUUAUUGAUUAGACUUGAUCGGCUUAUAAUCCGAUUUGAUUUAUCAUUAUGGUUUAGUUGACUCGGGUCUAGUCUAUCACGAAAACGACGACCCGGUUUAAUUGAACCGAACUCGGGUCAAGCCUAUAACGAAGACGGCGACCCGGUUUAAUUAAGCGAACCCGAGUCAAGCCUAUCAUGAAGACGGCGACCCGGUUUAAUUAAACGGACUCGGGUCAAGUCUAUCACGAAGACGACGACCCGGUUUAAUUAGUCGGACUCGGGUCAAGCCUAUCACGAAGACGGCGACCCGAUUUAAUUAAGCGAACCCGAGUCAAGCCUAAUCACGAAGACAGGCGACACCGGUUGUUAAUUAACGAAAUACCGGUCAAGGCUCUACACGAAGACCGGCGACCCGGUUUAAUUAACCGAUCCCGGAGUCCAAGGACCUACUCACGAAGACGGCGACCGGUUUAAAUGAACGCGAUCCCGGGUCCAAGCUACUCACGAAGACGGCGACCCGGUUUAUAAUGAACCGAACGAGUCAGCCUAUCACGAAGACGGCGACCCGGUUUAAUUAACCGGAUCCCACGGUCAAGCCUAUCACGAAGCACGAGCGACCCGGUUUAUUAACGAUCCGGGUCAAGCCCUAUCACGAAGACGGCGACCCGGUUUAAUUAACCCGAUCCCGGGUCAAGCCUAUUCACGAAGACGGCGACCCCGGUUAAUGAACCGAAACCCGGGUCAAGCCUAUCAACGAAGACGCGACCCGGUUUAAUUAACGGAUCCAGGUCAAGCCUAUCAGAAGACGGCGACCCCGGUUUAAUUAACCGAACCGAUGGUCAAGCUAUCACGAAGACGGCGCCGGUUUAAUGAUCCGAACUCGGGUCAAGCCUAUCACGAAGACGGCGACCAGAGAAAAAUAUUUGUUAUCAUUUUUUAUUAUUUUAUUUUUGUGUUCUCAUUUUGGUCCGAAUCGAAGUUCAACCGUGUCGAGCCUAUCACGAAGACGGCACUCGGUAUGAUCAUAAGUCCAAUGAGGGCAACGAUCCAACGUCGAGAUUGAAAGUGUUGAGCCUAUCACGAAGACGGCCGCUACUCAAUGAUAACAAGGAUCGUCAACCGUCGCAGUCGCCUCGUGCGCACAAUCUUUUCUUUUGAUGUUGAGGAGAGACGGGCUUAAUGAAUACGCGCGCAUGAUAUAGUAACGAUUGAAUGUCAAAUUUGAUCGGAAUCGACCUAUCACGAAGACGUCGUGUUGAUCAAACCGACAUAAAAUCGCGCAGCUAUAUCGUUUCACAUGUAUCACAAAACCCAUCGCCGUCGUAGAAAAGAAAAAAAAAGAGGCCGCUAAAUGGCCUCUUUGCGCGUCGUCGAAGUGCGUCGUUAGCGCGCCAUUGUCGACGUCGUCACCGUUUUGUCGUCGUUGUCGUCGCGCCAUUGUCGAAGUCGUCGCCCGCCACAUUAUCGUCGUCGUUGAAUAAAAGGCCAAGCUUCUCCUUCUUCCCCUUUUUUUGGUACGAUUUGGGGUGAGAGGUGUGCUCACAGCACCUCCCUCCCUUUGUUGCUGACGCGCGGCAGGAGGAGAGGGGCGAGUGUUGCCUUGUGAUGCACACGAUGGAGAGAAGAAAAAAGAAGAAAAGAAAACUUAUUAUUUUUGUUUUUUUUUUUUACCUUCUUUUUUUUCUUUAUCUCAACUUUUUCUUUUUUCUUUCUAGUUCCUCUCAAAAAAAAAAACACUUACAUCUUGGAUCCAAUUUAUAGGGAUCCAAAGAAUCAGUAUUAUUUUGGAAACAAAAUUCAAAUAAACCUCUAAAAAGGAAUUAUAUCAUUCCUUAUAGCUUAUAAGGAAUUUAAGUAUUUGAUACUAUUUUUAAAUCCUUCCUUAUUUUAUUUUAUUUGAAAUGACAAGAUUUUUUUUUUUUUUUUUUUUUUUUUUGCUUUUUUCCAUCUUUCUUCCUUUUUUUUUUUUUUGUUUGUUUUCUCUUUCUCUUUUUUUUUUUUUUUUUUUUUUUUUUUUAAUUCGAACAGUAGGUCUCAUAGGUCUCAUAUAAACUGAUCGAAAUUAGUAUCCCAUCCGAUGUGGGACUAUUGGGGCGUUACAAUAACUAAAAAAAAAAAGAGGAGCAAAAAACACAUGGAUCUAACCAAAACAUAUACAAACAAUUGUUGAGAUAAAACCCAGAAAACGUCUAAGCAUCAGGGGAAAUAAAAAAUCAGUGCAUAUCAAUUAAUAUAAAAGUCCAAACAGUCAAAGAGCAACAUCAUCAUAGGCAAAAACAAAAAAAGAGGGGAACAAAAAUACAUGCAUCUAUAUAACCAAAACAUGUGCAGACAAUUGCCGAGAUAAAACUUACAAAACCUCGAAGCAUCAAGAGGAAAAGUAAAAAAAACAAAGCAAAAAAAAUUUAGGUAAGCUUAGCUUUUCAAAAGCACAUAGUUAUGAUCAGUUGAAUUUUUUAUAGUUAUGAUCAGUUGAAAUAACAUUCAACAUUGCACGCCACUCACAAUAAAGCACCAACAUUUUUUGAUGUACGCAGGCUGCAAGAAUCGGCAUAAGAAUGGCCAACCCGCCAUGCCUUAGUAGAGUUUGUAGCAUUUAUUCUGAAAUUCAAACAUUUGCUAUGGAGAAGACCAACAUCAUAUACUCCACAAAACCAUUAAUUUAAUUAAUAACUAAAAUACACCAUUACUCAGAUUAUAGUAAAAAACUCUGCACCAACAGAAUAAAAAAACAAAUUUGUUUAGCCUUUCUUCUCCAACAAAUGAAAAGGUAAUAGCAGAAAAAUAAUUGCCAACAUCUUGCACUUCAAAACAAAACGAAAACACGAAACAAACCAAUGCGUAUCCAAGAAAAAUAAUAUACAAAAAAAGGGCUCAGAUAGAUUCAUAAAUCUGCAAUUUCAUGAUUUGUCUUUUGUAUAUAUGGAGUUGUAUUAUUUUCCUUUCUUUUUGCAUGAUUUGUUAGGUAUCCUUCAGAUUGGAUCUUAUAGUUUGAUAUGACUUAUCUGUUUUGCUUUACAAAACUUACUUUCGGAUUGUAUCUAAACAUAGAAGGGUGACAUCAGUGACAGCUUAUGGAUUUAAUUGAAUGAGCAUAAUUGAUAGGCCAGGAUAUUUCACUAUUACUUCAGUCACUUGGGAUUUGUUUUCUAGUUUUACGGGGUGCUUAGUCAAACUCAGAUAAGAGGCCAGAUUUAUUAGGCAUCCUUCAGAUUGGUUCUUAUAGUUUGAUACGGCUUAUCUGUUUUGAUUUUAAAAAUAUACUUUCGGAUUGUACCUAAACAUAGAAGGGUGACCUCAGUGACAGCUUAUGGACUUAAUUGAACGAGCAUAAUCGGUAGGCCAGGAUAUUUCACUAUUACUGCAAUCACUUGCGAUUUGUUUUCUAGUUUUAUGGAGUGCUUGGUCAAACUCAGAUCAGAGUCCAGUUAAAUAUUUUGGUUAAUUUAUGGACUUACCAUACGACAAAUUGCCAAGGUUAGGUUACCUAAGGAGAAGUCUCACGUACAGCUAUAUCUGUAGAUGGGUCCUGCUUGGAUGUAAGGCAAGGCGCAUCCAUCUUUUCUUAUGCAUCAGCUGCCAGUAAGCAAAGAUUUAUUUUCAGCUGACAAUUUGUUCUAAAAGACCUUUUAGAUAUCAGUUUAGAUUGUCAUGUGAAUAUUUUGAAAUGCAAUCGCAAUCAUAAGUGAAUCUUUGACACUUUUGUGAGACAUAUAAUCAACGCCAUGCUCGCACUUAAAGGUUUUUGAUUGGCUGGUGAUUUAUGAUGAGAAAAGCUAAUUUGCAAGCAUAAAUGUGAUAUCAAAAUAAUAUAUACUUUACAUACAGAUUGUAUUGCAUAUACAUUUUUUUUAAAAGAAAUUCGAGUAUGCACCCCUUUCUUUUCCAAGAAAUAGGAUUGAAUGAUAGCAUGUACUUAUUUCUUGUACCUCUGCAGUAAAUUUUCACAAUUCCAAAUUUUGAGAAGAAUCAAAAGGCAUAAACUUAUACGACAUGAAUGAUUGCAAAUCUUGUAGCGGAACCUCUAUUUGUCCAAGUAGGAAUAAAAUGUUAUUCAAACCAUUUCAAUUGCGAGCUAUCAAUUUGCUAUCAAUUUAUAUGUUUUUUUUCUUUUUUUGGUUCUCACUCACUUCUUUUAAGGCGAUAGUAUCAUAUAGUAAGUAUUUUAUUCUUCAUACUAAUUAUUUAUAUACAAUUUUGUUGGCUUUUUUUUUAGUGUUGAGAUUCUAAUCCUGAAAAUGGUUUUAGAAGAUAAGAAUGCGGCCUCAGUUGGAAGACCUUGGUCCAACCUUGCAACACAUAUUCUUGAGUUGAUUUCAUCCCAGCUCUCUCCAUCUGAUCGUUCCCACUUUGCUUUAACUUGCAAGCAGUGGAAUUCAGUUGUUGGUCCUACUUUUCCUGCUGAUAUAUGUCCACUUUUGCUAAACUGUCCAAGAUGGGGUUCCAAUGUGAUCCGGUACUACAGUCCUUAUUUCAACAAGAAUUUUGAACUAGAUUGUCCCUUUGACUUGUCAGGUGCCACAUUAUGUUCUUCAAGCAAUAGGUGGCUGACGUUAGGCUGGGAAAAUAAGAUUAUGUUAGCUGACCCUUUCACUGGCAUCUCACAUGAGGUACCAUUGGAGGAGGUAUUUCUUUUCUCUCAAUAUGGUUUUUUUUGGGAUCCGAUUACUUCGAAACUCCAAAUCUUCGGCAUUAGUAACGGUGGCUAUGAAAAUGUUGAUAUUGGUAUUUUUGAUGGUGAAAGUUGGUUCUGGUCUACAUACGAGAGUGGUCUACCAUUCUUUGUCUUCACACUCUAAUCCAGUUUUGUGCCGAGGCAAUUUUUAUUCCCUAGGAUCAGGUGGAGAGUUGGGAGUGUACAAUCUAAAAGAGGAUACAUGGACAGUUCUAAUGACUAAGCCUAACAAGUUCAGUUAUGAAGAAUGCUACCUAGUUGAGUCAGAGGGAGAGCUCUUUUCGGUACUCAUUGGAAAGUAUGGAUUACCUCUUCAUGUUCUUCGUCUUGAUGAACGCGAGAUGAUGUGGGAAAAGGUUGAAAGAUUAGAGGGGCGAAGUCUUUUCUUGGGAUCACUCACAUCGGUUUCUAGUAAUAGUACCACAUUGGAAAGCAUGGAAAAUAAAGUGUUUUUUCCAAGGUUUCAUGGUGAUGUUGAAGUCAUUCGCGCAAAAGUAAAGUACUCUAGUGGCCGCUCAUUUUUUGUACCGAAGAUGAAUGGAGAGAACAAGAGAAAAGAUGAAUCUAAUAUAUGUUGGUACUCAUUAGCAGAUGACAAAUUUCAUCUCAAAUAUUUUGUGUCCAAAAAAUACGUGAACAGCAUAUGGAUUGAUUCUAUAGUUGCAAGUGAUUAAACUUGAGGGCAGCCUUUUUAUUUUUCGAUACCUUUAGGACAGGUUUGCUAUAGAAUCUAAAAGCUUGGAAUUCUUAAAUUUUAGAAUGUAUGCUGUGAACAAUCACGAAAUAGUUUUUACCAGCCAUUUCAAUUUUAUUUUAUCACUAGUUCGAUCAUUUCGGGUCCAAAAAUAGUAAUACUGUAUUUUAAAUCUAGUACCUUUAGUAGUGCUAUGUGUAAGAAGUGAUGUAACUUUUUUUUUAAUAGGAGAAAAUAAUACUAAGCUAAAUGUGUACUAUUCUUGCAUUGUUGUUUGAUUUAUGCUUGUAAGCAAAUGGAACUUUAUAACUGACCUUGACGAAGUAACUUGUUUGGUCAGAAGCUGAUUGGAUAGAAUCAAUUUAUAUGAGAUAGAGGGGAUAAAGUUGUUUUUGGUCAUAAAUGUUCUCUUAUGUUACUUGAUUUGUCAUAAAUUAAUUUUUUUUGCAACAUCACAUUUUCGAAACUCGAACUUCACUCCGGAUAAUGUCAAAGUCAAUUAUGAAAAAGUGAUAUGAAAAAAUAAGUAAAAUUUUAAGUAAAUAAAUAAAGAUGUGGGAUAAUUGCAAUUUGAAAGCCAUAGACUUCUUAUCAAAUAAAAAAUAGUAGAGAAAAAAAAUUUCUUGAAUUUCAGUUUAAUUGAAAUUUAUUUUCAACUUGAAAAUUAUUUUUGGACAAACGGUCAAAACUUCAUCACCUUAAUAAUAUUUUCCAUUUAUUCAAAUAAAGCUCCCAAUUUCACAAUUGACACGGCCCUGGCAAUCCAAGAGGGGGGUUGAAUUAGGUUUCUAAAAUAAAAAGCCAAAUAAUCAAGCAAUUUAAAAAUCCGAAACAAAUAAUAAAGAGAGGAGUUUAAAGAAAUGCAAACUCAAAAGGCACACAAUCGAUUUGUUUCGAGGUUCGGCACUUUGCCUACGUCCCCGCCAACUUCUCAACACUAGAGAAUGUUGGAUCUCCACUAGAUAAUAUUUUUGGAGGCAAGCACCAAGCCUUCACACCAACACAUUCUUCUUUUCAAACUCCAAGACUUUGCUUUUCUCUCUUUUUACAAGAUUAAAUUUCACUACAAAUUGCACUCAAGUUUAGAGAGAGAAUUGAAAGCUAAAAGUAUUACCGUAAACAUGAUUUCGGGCGCCCAGAUGUUGUGCACGUGCACUCUACUUCCAGCUGCCUGUCAGACAAUGUACGCUACUUUUUCUGGAUUCGUACAUUCGGGCCUUCAGAAUUUGUGGGCGCCCAGAAUAUGCGCGCUGACUUUUCUGACAUAGAUAGACCACGUGCGCCGUUUUCUCUGAGCGGAAUCAUUUUGGGCUUCCAGAAGAUGUGGGUGCCCAGAUUUCCAGCACGCGCGCUGCCUGCGUCGCGUCGUGCCGCCUCAGAACUUUUCGGGCUGAUCCGUCGUACUGUCCGGAACACACAAUCUGUCAAGUCAAAUAAUCCGGUCGCCCUAAACAGACAUUCGGGCGCAAAAAUCAGGUAAAGAAAUUUCUGAACCACCCAAACAGCAAACAGGCAUGAUCCAAAAACACAUGAGAUUCAGAUCCACUUUAGGGUGCCCAGAACAGAGUCUAGAAACAGUAACUAGACAGAAAACUGAUUUUGAGCAGAUUUUGAAUAUUUUAAGAACCGAUGAACUUUAUAAGAAGAUCUUUGGAUAAGAUUCACUUUGAAUCAAAUAGAUAUUUGUUCAAGUGAGCUAUGAUAAAAAGAUCAAACUUAGCUCAAAGUUUCUCACUCUAAUCAUAAAGCAUAAUAUUAAUCAAAUUAAGAAAUAGAGAGAGUGAGUUUGUCUAUUUGACUGUAACAUACCAGAUUUUGGUAUAAAAAUAAAAAUAAAUAAAAAUAGUGUGAGAUACUAUUUUCGUUCGACUUAGAGAAGUAAAACAUAAGUCAGAAAUGACUUGUGCUGAAAUCGAAAUGAAAACAGAAGAUCUAGAAUUUUCUGUUGGAAACGGGACAGAUAAAUUAGCAGAAAAUGCACAGUCUCAGAAAAUUAUGAAAAUUGGAAGAUAAGUCAAAAAUAUUUUUAUGAGGCUAGAUUUAAAGUUUCAUAUUUUUCUGGCACCCGUAGAGUGAGAAAUAAAAUCCGACAGCUAUCUGAUAAAGAUUACAGUUCGGUACAGUUUUCAGUGACCAAAUGAGGUCGAAACUGAAAACUUAAGAUAUAUUCUUACUCAGUACGUUAAACUGAGCCUGCCUGUCAAAUUUGAGCUCAAACGGACAUUCAGAAGAGCUCCAACUAUUCCGAACUGCUAAACUGCUGCCCGAGGUGAAUAGUGUAAUAGUUGAGGGGCUGAUUUGUAAAAAGGGAUUUAAUCCCUUUUCUUCUUCUCCACCUCAGCCGAAUGCGCACACACACACACGCCACACACACGCAAGGAGAGGGAGGAAGAGAACUCUCCUUUCUCUCUCUAAAUCUCUCCCAAAAGAGAGGGUUUUGGUGGCGAUUGAAGCUCAAGGAUGGAUUUUCAUCUUUCCCAUCUUCUUCCUUGAAUGAGAAGCAAGCUUUGAAGGUAAGCUCCAAAACCCUUUAAUGGUAUCUCCUUGUAGUUUGGGUUUUAAGCUUCAAGAAUGGAUUUAGAGCUAUUCUAGCAUGCUAAAUAGGUGAUUGUUGCUUAAAUCAUGGAUCAAUUUAAUGAUUUCUUGCCUAGUUGUAAAUCUAGAACUUGAAAUGAGCUUUUUGAACCCUCUCAUGGUAGAUCUUUAAAGCUUCAUUUAUAAUCCAUAGAAAUGGUAUAUUUGGAAUCCUAGCAUGCUAAAUAGAGGAUAAAUACUAGAAUCUAGGAUCAAUUUAGUUAACUCUUGCAAUAGAUGAAACCUAGGGUUCAAAAUGCAAUUUUUGGAAAUAUGAGGGUUUGAUCUCAUUUGACCCUUUAUAAACAUAAUUGCUAGGUAAACGAACGCGCUGGCGAAGUCGGUUCGGCGAUUCGUCGAGCCGGUACGAAGUUAUUAAAGAAACGGACGUUUAGGCUUCAUUUCCGCCUGCAGGGCUGAGCGACAUCGUAUACUCAUGAAAACGGAUUUGAAGCAUCGUGGCACGGAUCGGGCCAAACCGGAUGCCGGGUGCCGCGGGAGGCCGAUUGCAAGUGUCGACAAGUAAUCGGAUUGCGAAAUGAGGUGGGUUGUGCUCAUCGAAGCGACUAGGUCGCCUAUAUAUCUAAGAGUAAUGGUUUUCUAAUUGAUGCAUAUAGUUUAUGUUAUUUACUGUUGAGAUAAAAUGCAUAAUGACAUAUAAUGUGUUAAAUGCUAGAUGAAUGCAUGAGUUAAUUGUCACAUGAAUGCAUGAAAAUAAUGUUAUAGUAAUAUGUUAGAGGUAAUAUGCAUGUUGAUAAAUUAUGGAACAUGUUGGAUGGCAUAUGAAUAGUUGGUAUAUAUAUGUAGACAUAUUGUGGAAUAUGAUGAAUGAGUGCAUGUUGAUUUAUUGUAGAAUAUACAAGAUGAAUGUAUAUUGACAUAUUGUGGAUUAUGUUAAAUGACACAUGCAUGUUGAACUUGGAUCGAUAAACUCUAGGUGAAUUAGAGAACUCGACAUUGGAAAACAAUGACAUAUGAACUAUGAUAUGUGACGUGGACAAUCUAUAUAUAUUAGAUCGAAUGGCAUAUGAUUAGUAUAGUGGAAACACUUAUGGCAUGUUGAACACUUAGAAAAUACGUGUGUCAUGAGUCCAAGAAUAUAGUAGUGCAUAUGACACAAAUGAUAGUAAAAAAUGCAAAGAAAAGAAUGAUUGAAAUAUUAUGACAUUUUAAUCCUAGAGUUUAGGGUCAUUUGAGCAUAGUCUUCCUAAAGUUAAGGAAUUGAUUAAACUUGGAGUCCUCAAAUGUAGGAUUGAUCAUACUCACUUUUAGUCCUUGCUCGAGGUUGUGGUAGCUCCCCCUCGGGCGAUGUGCUCCGGAGACAACAUCACUGGGUAUAGCGAGUAUCUCCCCAGAGGACCGUCCCAUCGGGUGUAGCGAGUAUCUCCCCGAUUAUUGGGAUUUUGAGUUGGUGAGUUUGUUGAGGGCGAAAUCUUCGGGUUAGCCAAGAGAUUGGGUAACAAGCACAUGAGUUGUAGCAAUAUCCUAGUUGAGUGGACUUAAGGCUGAGGUGCAAGUGAGACGUCCUUCGCCUCGAGCCUGGCUUUACGCGGUACUCCGCGAAUGAUUGACUCGAGACCGAGUCGGGUGGAUAGUUGAUAAAGGUAAAUGGGACCAUAUGAUCAGAAUUGUAAUUAAUAUGAAUUUAAAAUAGUGGAAUAACUUCGAAGUCAAUUAAAUGAGCUUUGAAUAGCAGGAUUAAAGUAGUAUCGAUUGAACUACUAAUUGGUUGCAUAAAUCGCAUGAUUUUCAUAUUGCAUGGUUGUGAGGCAUGACAUGUAUUUCAAUUAUCAUAUAUAUAUAUAUAUAUAUAUAUAUAUAUAUAUAUGUGUUGGAUAUUUGUUGGACUAACAUGUUGCAGUGCCUCCUUGGACCUGUGGGUCGAGCUCUUCCCUUGGGUGGUCGUACCCACUGGGAACAUAUUUAUAUAGUUAUCACCCCUGUGUUGUUUUUGGGGGUACAGGUUCCCACGUGAGGGGCGCGGCGGCGCGAGGAGAGGGCGUAGCUCCGUAGAUAGCGCCCUACCACCGAGACCAGAGAUAGCGGUACCCUGAGUCGGCCUUUACUUAGGGAUGUAAGAAAACGAAAAGAAUCAAGUUGUAAUAAUUUUGAUUGUAUUUGGAAGUUAAAUGUAAUAAGUAUUUGUGAUGUAAAAUGUAUCUAGUGAUUGAGAAUGCUUGUAAUAGCAAGUAGAUUAUGUUAUUGAUCCUUCCUUAUGCAAUCUUUGAUUGAAAUGUGUUCCUAGUUGGAACUUCGUACAUUGUAUCGAUUGCGACGCCUUAAACGUACAGGGGAGACUCUGUCCGCGGUACCGGAGAAAUCCUGUCCAUUCGGCGGUUUGUCGGCGUGCCUAAAACUGACCAAAUAGGCAGGCUCGGGGCGUGACAUUGACAAAAGAAACAAGCAUAGCUUCAAGUAGUGAAGCUCGGUGCUAGAAGAUUGCUCAUCUUGAGUCCUUUUGAAAAUAGAGAGAUUUAAGACACAAAACUCAAGAUAAAAGAUUAGUCCAAUAAUCGUAAUUAUUUGUUAUCAUCAAAAUCUAAUGAAAGAUUAGGGCCAUUAGGCCAACACUAUCCCUGUUUCAACUCCGACUUAUGGUACUACCAAUAUUGCAUCUUUAUUUCUGAAAACUUCUCUAUUUAAGAGUCCCUGGCACACCCUCUGCUCAUUUCAGCUCGAAUUUAGGCACUGGUUAUAUUACAUCCUUAUUUGAUUAUAUUGGAUAGUCCCAAAACCUCUGUAUUGUGCUAUUUUCGGACUAUACUUUUACAGGCACGCCAUGUUUUUUACAGAGUUGAGUGUUUAAAUAAGUUUUAGAAAAUUUUACAUUAUACUAUAGCAAAAUGCCUUAAACUCUAUAAAAAAGAAGACAAAAGGUAAAUUAAAUUGAAGUUAGGAGUCAAAUAAAGCAACUAAAGAUUAAACAGAAAACAAAAUAUUUAUCAACGGAUGGAGGAACUCACUUACACGCAGCCUCUUCUCAAGAGUUAAUCUAAAAGAAAGAUAUUCUAAUCUCUUCUCGAGUUUAUUUUUUGCUUCACGCAACGCACCAUUUUCAUUUGCAGCCGACAAUAUUUUUGAAAACUUUGACUAUCAAUCUCUUUCUUGAAAUAUUCAUAUAUAAAAGCAACAAAGCAUAGCCUUCUAAAUUAAAGUAAAGACAACAAGCUUGAGUCACCGAGAGAAAAGACGGUAAAUACAUAUAUUAGCCAGACAAUCUAGUGUACCACAAAGUGCGUGCGUCAAAUUUUAGACCUAUAGAUAGACCGUUUGUAUAUACAAUUUUCUUACUGAGACUUAUGACUAGAAGAACCUAACAAGUGGAAAAAUAUGCCUGCCCUGAUAUUCCAAACAAAAAUAAUGUGACAAAGAUGAGAUGAAGAUGAAUAUUACCAUACCCGUGUGUAUAUAUAUAUAUAUAUAUAUAUAUAUAUAUAUUGGAUCUCGGUAGAUAUAGAAAUUGAUUUAGCCUCUCUCUCUUCCAAUAUAAUUUUUCGUGAAGAUCAGAAUAUCUCAAAAAGGGAACGUAGAUAUUAGAGGAUUGCUAGCAUCAUCCUUGUAGUCUACGACUCAUCUGUUCCGUGCGACGAAAGACGUUGGAUCUGCAUCAAUUCCAUGUGGAUACGCGUAGAGGCUGGGUACGUGCGCGACUAAUCGGAAUCUCAGUUUUAACCGUACAGUAGAUCAAGAGACCUUAACUAGUCCGAGGUGAUGCAACCUGAACUUCAAAUCUGUUUAGGUUUGAUUAUUAUUUUACACUGUAACAUGAGAAUGAUCCGCUAGCACUGGAUUGAUUUGUUUUCGAUUUUAUUCAUAUGUGAUAUGGAUUUUAGUUUUCAAAAAAUUUUAAAAGGUACAAUAUUAAUUUCCGCUGCGAUUUGAAUUUUAUUUUUGUGCCGGAUAAAUUCUUACAAAUAUUUUCCACUCCUACAAAACACAAAUCUUUAAAUCCCAACAGCUUUUUUCUCUCUGUUUUCUCUAUUUUUCUUUUUUUUCUUUUUUACCUUUUUCUUUUUUUCCUUUGUAUGUUGGGUCUCUACACCGUACUGCCACUAUAUCGACCCCUUCCAUACCACAGGUCGUCGUCUAGUCCAUCACGACCGACGAUAAAUUUGUUACCAUUCUCCAUAAUAUUUGCGCUUAAGAAAUAUGGAAAGAUGAGAAAAAUAGGAGUAAAAAAGGAGAGUAAAAAUUUAUAUUAAAAAAUAGGGUAUAUCCCUGUUUAAUCAAAAAAAAAAAAAAAAAAAUUUAUAUUAAAAAAUUGUCUAUUAGAAAGGGCAGAAAGAAGAGGAGCCAAGGAUUUCUUCUUUUUUUUUUUCUUUUCUUUUUGUGUGUCGGAUAUCUACUAUCAAGCUGAAACAAGGGAGAGAGGUAGGUAUUGAUGAAGAUGGGUUUCUUCUUUUACUCUCUGUUUCUCUUUUCCUUUUUUUGGCUAGAUCUCUACUACCCAAUUACCCCCUUCGAUCAAGCUGAAAUAGGGGGAGGAUAGGUAGAGAUGAAGAUGGGUUGAAAGAAAGGGAGAGAGGAUGGAGAGGAACAGUAAUUGAACAAAUGUGAACCCAUGUGAAUGCAUUUUUAAUCAUAUUAACUUAAAUUUCAUGAUCGUGAGAGAGAAAGGGAAAAAAAAAAAACUUACACAUAAAAAAUCUAUGGGGAAGGAGGCGGCGUUGCUUAACGACAGAACGUAUUUGAUUUCUCAUUUAGUAUAGAGUUUAAUCCUAUGCAUAUAAAAUCAGAUAACGGAAAAAUUGAAAUCAGAUUUUUAUAUUUCGUUAUAAUAGAUUGGCAUGAAAUCUUGAAUACUGUAGAAUUUUUUACUCUCUUUUUACUGUUUGGAUAAAAUACAGUAGUUUUUACACCAUUAGAAAAAUAACUAGUUUUUUCCCCCUAAUUUAUAGAAUUGCAAAUUCACAACUCCUGCCAACUUAUCAUAUAAAUAAAUGAACUAUUCCUUAUUAAUGCAAUGUUAUUUAUUUUACAAAAUAAAAACAAUCUAAUAUAAAGAUACUUUUCAUUAGAUAUCUGAAUGCAAUCUUCUCAUUAGACUAGUGUAAUGACCCGCGCGAUGCGGCGAAUAGGUAAUAUUCGAUAUUUAACUUUAGUUUUUGUGCUAAAAUUUAUUCUUUCUUCUCUUUAAAUUAUAAUAUUUGAUUAUUUUUCUUACAAUAUAAAUAAUAUAUCAUACUUUCAACAUAGAGAACAAAUAAAGAGUAAAAAAAAUAGAACCAAGAGAAUGAAAUUUGAUGCAUAAUUAAACUGAAGAAAUAUUUGAGAUCCUGUAGAAAAAGCUGAAGCAAUACGAAAUAGCAAAUAUAUAAGAAAAAUAAUCAAAUAUUANAUCCUGUAGAAAAAGCUGAAGCAAUACGAAAUAGCAAAUAUAUAAGAAAAAUUAAAAAAUUUUGAGUAACAAAUAAAUAAAAGCGUAAGCAGUUAAUUCAACAGUAGCAGCAACGACUAUAAAUACAAUGAAUUUUAUAGCGGUAGAAGUCGAAGAAAGGCUUGCAGAGUUGGCUGAAAGAAAAAGUAAUAGUCAGUAAAGAAUUAAGAAAAGAAUGAAAUAGGACUAAUAGGAAAAGUUGGUUUUAAAAUAUUACUAACCAGCUAUCCCAAAAAUAUGCGACUACAGUGGUGCAAAAUCAAGUGAGGUAGCAACUUACAAAAUUAAUUAGAAUAUAUAAGUUGCAGAACUUAUAGUCAAAUAAUUUUAAACAGGAAUAGUAAAAAAACACCAUCACAACAAUUGAAAAAAAUAAUAUAGAGAGCAAACAAAGUGAAAGAAAAAUAGAACAAUCGAAAACAAUAUUCAACAAACAAACGAAGAAAAUAGCAUAAACAGUAGCAGUAGAAAUUUGAGAAAAACGAAAAAGAACAACAGCUAAUAAAAUUCUAUUUUUACUAUAGGCUCAGACAUGUAAUGAGUAUUAUCAAUAGUCAACAAAUUUAUUUUUCUCAUUUCAGAAGUCUUCAAGAAAAUGUGUCGCGUAUAGUUAUAUGUCAUCAAUAGCUUAUGUAUCCCUUGCUGGGGGGAAUCACCAGUUGCAAUUAUUUUGUAAUUGCCAUCACCAGAAGUCUUCAAGAAAAUAUGUCGCGUAUAGUUAUAUGUCCUCAAUAGCUUAUGUAUCCCUUGCUGGAGGGAAUCACCAGUUGCAAUUAUUUUGUAAUUGCCAUCCUAGUUGAUACUGAACCAGCAAAGAAAUAGAUUUUUUUUUUUGCCGCAAAUAAUUUUUUUACGGAGGCAUAUUAUAUAAGCAGCAAGAAGGAGCAUGGAGAAUGAAUCCGAACCAUUUUCAUGACCGGAGGGAAUCACUAAGCCGAAACGAAGCGUCGCUAAUGGGACCGGCGCGACGGGAAGAAGGGCCGACUAUGAACUCUGCCCAAUAUUCCGUCCUGAUAGGGUACAGCAGGAGUCGGAGCGGCAUCUAAGGGGUUGAGCGGCAUCAGUUGGAAGACGAACCUCUUCGUUGAACCAAUUAAAUGGGAAUCGGUUGAACCAACUAAAUGGGAAUGAGAUAACCGUCAGGAAAGAAGAACGACAACGAACUCGGGCCAAUUUUCCGUCCAAGAGGGCACAUCAGUAGUCGGAGCAGCAUCUAGAGGGUGAGCGGCAUUGGCUGCAAGACGAACGUAUUACUCGAACCAAUUAAAUGGAAGCGGUUGAAGAAAUUAAAUGGAAAAAAGAUAAGGUUCCCACAAAUCAACAAUUAAGCAGAGUAGCUUAAGAUGUCUAGUAUGGCCCAAAAAAAUCAAAUUAAGCUAAUAUCACAAAAGGAAACGAAUUUUCAUAGGAAUUUAUAGAUAAUUUGCUAUAGACCAGACAUGUAAUCAGUAUUAUUAGUAAUCAGCAAUAAUAUUUUUCUCAUUUCAGAAGUAUUUGAGAAAAAGUGUCGCGUAAGAGGAUGAACCAGUUUUUCUAAACCAAUUUAAUGGGAAGAGGAUGAGGAAAGAAAAAAAACUUAUAGGUGAGGCCCAUGGGCCAUACAGAUAGGUCCUACACAAAUCUCACACAAACCCACAAUUAAGCAAGAUAGUUUAAGAUGACAGGUAGGUCACACAAAAGGCCAACUUAAGCAAAUAUUUCCAUGUGCACAAAAGGAAACGGAUUUUCAUAGAAGUUUAUAGAUGCAUCCCUUGCCGAGGGGAAUCACUGGUUGCAACUAUUUUGUAAUUGCCAUCCUAGUUAGUUAAGCGAAAUACUUGGUUGCAAUGGAUGCAUAACUACCAUCCGAGUUGCCUUACCAUGUAUAUACUCUUUUCAUAUUAAUCAUAAGAUUAUUCAUUUUGUCAUCAUCGCCAAUCCCAAUAAAUAGAAAACUUAAUAUUAUGGUCGUAGAACUUAUUAAAAAGUAUCUGAAAUCAUAAAGUAGUAAAAAUAAUAGAGAAUCAACAACAAAGUAAAAAAGUGAACUACCUCAAGAUUGAGAAUAGGAACUGGUUCAACGGAAAUAUAGAAAAUCGAAUUUGUAAUUACAAAGAAAAUGAAAAAAUCAGAGUAAAAUUAUACUAAAUGGUAGGAAAAUCGGGGUAAAAAAAUAAGAAAAUCAAAAAAUUGAAAACAAUGAGCUAUAAGUAGUCAAAAUGAAAUUCCAAAGAAAAUGAAAGGCAUAAACCAUAGCAGAGAAGAAAGCAACAUGAUAGAAUACAACAUGGGCAUUUAUGGUUAUAGCUCCUCAGUUCUGCUUUAGAACUCUUCCUAAAGGUAUUGUUAAUAUAUUUUCACGUAUAUGUGAUGUUUCACGCACUUUUAAAGUUGCGUAUUUUCCCAUUUAGGCUACUUGUGAUUGGUUUCUUUAUUAUAAUACCUUAUUUGUAAAAUGAAUGUAUGAUGUUCUUGUUACAUUAACAUUUCGGAUCAAGUGAUAAUAGAAUUUAGAAUCAAGACAGGAGUUUUGAGUUUAGCCUGGAUGAUACCUUACUUACUUUUAACAAAAUAAUUCUAGCUAAAUGUCAGUUUUCUAAUAAAACAAUUCUUUUCCAAUCUUCUGUUCUUUCUGAGUUCAACAUACCUUGAUCAAUUCGAAGUGGGUUCUACUAAAACAUCGAAGGUUCAAUCUCAAAAGGUGUUGAAAACACCGAAGAGAAUUAUCGAGAAAUAUUCUGUUGGCGGACAUGGCGAUUUUGGGACAAAAUUGAAAUUCAGAUCAAUUCCUUUAAUUUGCUGCAAUAAUGGGAUAAGAAAUAUAUUUAGGAUCAAGAUCAUUAGCAACACCAUUUUCAUCCAUGUCAAUUUUGAUUUAGACAAAUUAAAGGAACGAAAACUGAACCGGUAUGCCCAUAUAUGUUCCAUUAAGUCAAUUGAUCUUCUGGUAAAAUCUACAUAGAAAAAAAGCCAUUAUAUACCGCAAAUCUAUCCGACAGUUCCAGCUUUAGAAUCGGAAUAUAUCCAAUUGCCAUCAGUUAGAAAAAAAUGCACUUGUUAUGCUGAAUAUAUCCAACAGGUUGAGAUUGUUAACUUCUACAAAAGAAAUGUGGAUACCGAACAAAAUUUAUGCAAUUCCAAAAAAUGGUGUUAAUUGUUACCGGAAGAAUCACUUUCAUCAAUGAAAAGUCUGCUUACUAUGUUUCUUUUGUAGUCAGAUUACUGUCUUUUUUAUCUUUCACAUAGAAAGAUUCUGUAAAUGGACUCUAUCUUUAUUCAGUUACUUUGAAAUAUAGUUAGAAUUUAGAUCCUCAUAACAAUUUAGUCCUUGGUAGUCUAUCUUCUUUAAGAGAUGCACUAUCAUCAUGAUUCUUAGGUUUUGCAAUACAAACUUCAAUGAUUAAAUUGUCAGAAUUAAAACUGUGCGAUAUUGAACAAACUUCGAGUAAAUUAUUAACUAAACCCUCUCUAAUAUAUGUGGAUGUUGGAUAAUGUUACUUGUUUCAUUGCAUGCUUUGGAUGCUUGACCAUCUUUGAGGCCAAGAUAGAUAUACAUAAGCACUUUCCACAAUACUACUUUGCUAUCAGCAAAGCCGGUCCAACUCUAGGCACAUCAAGGUACUAUCGGAAAGUGCAAACUUGCGGUUUGAAGGUUCUAUGUUGUUUUGAGAUCAAGCCUCUUUAUUAGCUAAGUUGACUGAUAGUUGUUGCAGCAGGAGAAAACAUGUUUAUUGAACAUUAAUGAUGGAGGAAUAUCUUUUUCUCUUAAUUGCCACUCAGAUAUUUCGAAGGUAUUCUAACCUGGUUUUAUUUUGUAAUUUUCUGACUUUGCUAUCAGUACUUGGAAUAUCAUUCCUAUUGCUAACUAGCAUGUUUUGUGUUUCCUCUCAAAAAGGUAUUGGCAAUUUGAGCAUGUUAAAGUUGAAUUGUUGGUCUAUAUACGUUCUCUGUCUUACUUUUAUAGCUUAGUAAAUUUUGUUUAUGAAUAAAGCGAGUAGCAUGCUACCUUUCUUCUUAAAAGGUAAAAGAAAAAAAAAAAAUUAGUUGCAUCCUAAGCCCAAAAAACUUACAGAACAUCAUCUGAGGGAGUUGCUAGCUAGAGGAGGUAGUACUUAUUGUCACUGUUUCCUAAGUCAAGUCAAUAAGAUAGUAUAGAUUAGUACUGGUAUUAAUGGUCGACAUGUGAUAUUUCAUAGUACCUAAUUAGAAAAGAUUAUACAUGUGCACAGAUAGUGAAAAAGGGGUAGUUGAGUCAAUUGUUAUUAUUAGUAUUAGGGUAAAUUGCACAUUUGGUGUCAAACUAUGAGUUGGCCGACACUUUUGUCCUCACUUUAUUUCGCUAUAAUCUGUAACUUUUUAGUUAUUUGAUAUAGCUUGGUUUUGAUGUUAUAGUCUAUUUUUGUAGUAUCUUAUUUUCUCCAUUGUUUAGUUUUGCUCAACUAUUAAAAGUGUAGUUUUCAAUUAAGAGUAUACUAUAGGCUGCAUACUUUAAAUUCAAAGUUAGCUAUAAGUUUAGUUAUUAGUUUAGUUUUGCUCAACCAUUGUUUACUUUUCCAGUCAAUCAAUAUACACUCUAGGCCGCAUAUUUUAAUUUCCGAGUUAGCUCCAAUUUCGUUUAUUUUGUUUAUUUUGAUCUAGUACACAGCAGCACCUCUUUUGUAAUUCCCUGCAAAUCAUUAUUUCAAUUUGGAUUUUAUAUGUAUUUCAGUUUUUUUCCUUUUGUUUUGUUCUUAAAUUUUUUGUCUUUUUUAAUGGUGGUUGGCAGUAAAAUUAAGGUGAUAAUUUGAUUUGGAGUUUGAAGCAAAUCUUGCUUUGGGACUGUGCGAUCAAAAACAGAUGGAAUUAGACACAGUGAACUAUUGCUUAUUAAAAUCAAAACUUAGAAAAUUACCUCAUACUUUCAAGGGCAAGUUUCUGAAUGCCGACCUCCGAGGCAAGAACUCCUUCAACAUAUUCUUCAAUGCCAAAUCCUCAUCCGUCUACAAUCUUGCACCUAAAGCAUCUCGAAAUCACCGAAAAUACAUCAUAAUUAAUAAUUAGAAUAGUAUUAUACACAAAAUCCUAAUAUAUAUAUAUAUAUAUAUAUAUAUAUAUAUAUAUAUAUAUAUAUAUAUAUAAUUCGUGGGAUUCCAGAAUAAGUUUUUACACUUUAAUGCACCUUAUUAGUAUUGUUCUCGAGUCCCAACUGAAUAUGCCCUUAUAAAUGGUUUCUAUACGACUUAUUCCUAAUGCCAUCUCAUGCAGGUUAGCUUUUUUAGACAAUUUUUCAGAUCAGUUCGCAAGGCUGAUUACUUAGCAAUGUGCCAUGGUUUCAUUACCGUAAGUAUUAUCGGCUAGGAAAUGAGAAAUUACUGAAGAAACUAUUGUCAGCUUUGUUGAUUAUCUUGCUUUUGCAAGUUCAUUUAGCUCCAGGCAGUAAGUAUAACGACAUCAAAGGAUGGUUGAUAGGAUUUUUUUUUUUCUUUCUUUUUUUUCUCUUUAUAGCUUCGUGCUCUCUCCUUUUUUUUUUUAAGUGGUCCUAUGCUUGUUAAUUUAUAUUUUUUCUUUUCAAUGGACAAUUUAGAUUGUCUUCUCAGUUUUUUCGACAUAAAAUGAAAAAAUNAAAUAUUCUAAAAGAAACUAAAUACAUAUCCAAUUUAUUUUGCAAACAAAUCAUAUAUAAAAGCAUUAUGAUUACAUAUAUAAUAACAUUAUGAUCAGGACCGGGAAAAAAAAUAAAUUGCUAAAUUAUUUGCAGAAACAAGCUGGAAGGCAAAAAGAAUUAGUAUAUAUAUCAAAAUUAAAUCAAAGAGCUUACAAAUUCUUCGCCAAUCACUCUCAGAUCAAACGUACGUAGGUAGGCAAUUUCCUGAGACAUUUUAAAAAAAGUAAUAAGAAACCAAAUUGAAAUUCAAACCAAAAAAAAAGUUGAAACCAAAUCUGAGAAGGAAAAAUCACCAGCAAAGAAAUAGAUUUUUUUUGCCACAAAUAAAAUUUUUACAGAGGCAUAUUAUAUAGGCAUCAAGAAGGAAACGUGGAGAAUGAAUUCGGACCAUUUUCGUGACCGGAGGGGAUCAAUAAUCUGAAACGAAGCGUCGCUAACGGGAUCGGCGCGACGGGAAGAAGGGCCGACCGUAAAAACAAAGGGAAGAACUUGCCAUCAAGCCUUUCCACUGCUUUCUGAGCCUCAUCAGCAUAUUUAUACCUCAGGAACGCAAAACCACGCGAUUCCCCAGUCCUAUAGAUCAAACAUAUUAAAAAAAAUGAAUUAAAACAUUAACAAAAAGUAGCAAAAACAUCCAAACCCUAGAAAUCCGCACCCAAGAGCUGAUCUAACUGAAAAAACCCUCAAAAAAAACACCAAAUCUCGAAAUUUUAAUUAGGUAGGCACCUGCAAUCUCUAGGGAUGAACACGUCCACCACCUUGCCUUACCGAUCAAAGAGGGGGAAUAGAUCAUCCGCCGUGGUACCUACCAAAAAUCGACUGCCGUGGUACCUACCAACACUACAACAAAAACGGUCUAUAGCGACACUUUUAAAUGUAGGUACAUGUCAAAAAAGUGCUGCUAGCUAAAAUUACCGACACUUUUAAAAAGUGUUGCUAUAUGUGGGGUCGCUAGGGAUAUAGUGACAGUUAAAGAGUGUCGCUAUAACCUAAAAGAGUGCUGCUAAUUUACCAACACUUAUUUAAGCAUUUAGCAACCGCCGAAACUCUAUCUCGUUGACUGCGGUGGCGGAGGAGGACGACAGGAAAGGCUCUUCGUCUAGAAUUUCAGUGGAUUGAGUGAAGAGAGAAGAAAAUAUGGUAAUUGAUUUUUCUUUUUUUUUUUCUUUUCUGUUUGUAAUCGGGUCAAAUGGACUGGGUGUGGUGGGUUGAGUAGAGUAAUCUUUUAUUUUUAGUUGGAUUGGGCUUUAUAUUUAGGCAUAAGUAGAUGUUUUUUAAAGUUUUAGCAUAAAUGGUACACUUACUCAAAAGUGUCCCAAACAUGUGUCCCUAUAACCUAAUUCUGUUGUAGUGCAAAAAGCAGUCGAUUUGUAGAGAGGGCACAGGAGGGGUCGAAGCGUCAUCUAGGGGGCUAGCGGCAUCGUUUGGAAGACGAAACUGUUCGUUGAACCAAUUAAAUGGGAAGCGGCUGAAGCAACUAAAUGGGAAGGAGAUAACCAUCAGGAAGGAAGAACGACGGCGAACUCGGCCCAAAUUUCCGUCCAAGAGGGCACAUCAGGAGGCAGAGCGGCGUCUAGAGAGCAGUGCGACAUCGGGAGGCGGAGCGACGUCUAGAGGGUAGUGCGACAUCGGCAUGUAGAGGGGCGAGUAGAGGGGGCGAACGGUUGAAAAAAUUAAAUGGGAAAAAGAUAAGGAAAUUAAAAAAAAAAAAAACUAAGGUGGGCCCCACAAUAACUAAUUAAGCAUAGAAGGUUAAGAUGAUAGGUAGGGCCCACAAAAACAAAAUUAAGCUAAUGACGCCACGUGGACAAAAGGAAAUGGAGAUUCAUAAGAGUUUAUAGAAACUCAGGUGGGCCCCACAAUAACUAAUUAAGCAUAGAAGGUUAAGGUGACAGGUAGGGCCACAAAAACAAAAUUAAGCUAAUGACGCCACGUGGACAAAAGGAAAUGGGGAUUCAUAAGAGUUUAUAGAUAUCUAGAAAAAACAAAGUUAGCAUUUUUUUUUUUUUACACACUUGAAAAUAAAUAGAAACAAAGAUAACAUUUUUAUAAAUAAAUAUAAAUAAAAGUAUGUAGGUAAAAUAGGCACUUUAGGUCUCAAAAUUUUGUUUUUUAUAUUUUUUUUUCAAAAGUUUAAAUAGUUACUUAGUUUUUUUCUCUUUCUUUACGGAGUGUUUGGUACUUUAUUAUAAUGUAAUGUAAAAUUUUCUAAAACUUAUUCAAACAGCCAUCUCUGUAAUAAAUUUAGCAUGCCUGUAAAAAUAAUUCCGAUAAAAAUAACUCCAGAGGUAGCACAACAUAGAGUUUUUGACUAUCCAAAUAGCCCUAUAAGCGAAAAAGUUUUUGCCCUCUUUUAUUUUUCCAUUGAGCAUGUAAAAAUCCAUCUUUAUUUUUUUUAAAUGAUGAUCAUCACUUUUUUCCUACUAUUUUUCUGCUGGGGAUUUGAAGAUUUGGGCCCAUUUAGGAUUGGAUUUAUGUCGUGGCACAACCCAUAUUACAUCCCUACUCCUGAAGCCUUUUUUGCUUAUAGGUCUAUUUGGGUAGUCAAAAUGUGGCGCCCCAACUUUUUAGGGGGUCACCCAUCCUAGGGCUACUCCCGUAGUAUGCUUAACUCUCUUAAUCUCUUGGGUCUAGCCACCACCCAAAAUGUUUAAAUCGAGUUAAGAGUUUAGCCCUAUUAUAUCUUAUAUAUAGGACUAUCUGGGGUUUCAUAAUCUCCCUCCUUAAGCUUCUCGCUAGCCUAAAACGACCUUGUAGUGAGCUGCGCUCUAUCCACAAUAGUCAACAGCAUGAAAGCCUCGCUCUCCCCGCUGUAUAACCUAGCUCAACCGAGACUCAUCUCACACUUUCAAUUAGUAAUUGGCUCUUAUACCAACUGUGGAGUCCCAACUUCCUAGGAGAUGAAUUAUCCUAGGAUUAUUCCCGUCCUAGCACUCUUAACCUCUUGAGCCUAACCACCGCUCAAAAUGCUUAAGCCGGAUUAAGAGUUUACCCCUAUUAUAUCUUAUAUAUAGGACAAUCUGGGGUCUCACACAAAAACUCUGUAUUGCACUACCUCCGGAGUUGUGAAUUUACAAUUCUAUAAAAUAGGGGGAAAAACUAGUUGUUUUUCUAAUGGUGUAAAAAAUACUAUAUUUUAUCCAUACAGUAAAAAGAGAGUAAAAAAUUCUAUAGUAUUCAAGAUUUCAUGCCAAUCUAUUAUAACAAAAUAUAAAAAUCUGAUUUCAAUUCUUCCAAUAUCUAAUUUUAUAUGCAUUAAUAUUAAACUCUAUACUAAAGGAGAAAUCAAACACGUUUCGUCGUUAGCAAUGUCGCCUUCUUUCGCAUAGAUUUUUUAUGUGUAAGUUUUUUUUUUUCCUUUCUCUAUCGUGAUCAUAAAAUUUAAAUUAAUAUGAUAAAAAAUGUGUUCACGUGAGUUCACAGUGAGUUCACAUUUGUUCAAUUACUGUACCUCUCCAUCCUCUCUCUCUCUCUUUCUUUCAACUCAUCUUCAUCUCUAACUAACCCACCCCCUAUUUCAGCUUGAUUGAAGGAGGUAAUUAGGUAGUAGAGAUCUGGCCAAAAAAAAAAAGAGAAAAGGAGAGUAAAGGGAAGAAACCUAUCUACAUCUCUACCUGCCCCUCUCCCCUGUUUCGGCUUGAUAAUAGACAUCCGGCACACAAAAAGUAAAAAAAAAAAAAAAGGAAAAAAAAAAUCCUUGGCUCCUCUUCCUCCUGCCCUUUCUAAUUGACAAAUUUUUAAUAUAAAUUUUCAUUCCCUUUUCCUUUCUCCUAUUUUUCUCAUCUUUCCAUAUUUCUUAAGCGCAAAUAUUAUGGAAACUAGUGUUGAAUUCGCGCUUCACCGCGGACAGUUUUAACAUCAAUAUUUUAAUAUAAAUUUUAAUAUAUAAUAAUUAUAAAAAAUAAGAAAAAAUAAAAUUAAAUAUCAAUACAUAUAUAUGUAAGAAAAAGCAAAAGAAUAAUAGCCAAAAAUGAAUUACUAUGCAAAAAUAAGAUGGAAUAAAAACAAAAUAUGUAAUUAUGAACUAUGCAAAAUAUAUAUUUAGCUUGAUUGAUUACUAAGUAUUUUAAUACAUAUAUAAGUAUUUUGGAUUGAUAACAAACUAUGUAAUUUUUUUAUUUUUAAAGAAUAGUAGCCUUUUUUUUANAUUUUGGAUUGAUAACAAACUAUGUAAUUUUUUUAUUUUUAAAGAAUAGUAGCCUUUUUUUAUUUUAUUUUUUAAAUCUUUUUGUUUGUUUUUUUUUUUUUUUAGUGCUCUUCUUUUCUUUUUUCUACCUUCUCUUAACUUUUUUUUUAUGUGUGCAACCUGUGAAGUGUGUGCACCGGCUUGUUUUCCGGAAAAGUGAACAAAGGAAAAACGAAAAGAUUUAAAUAAAUAAAUAAGAAAGUGUAGGCGUUGGAAAUUUAUUAGGGAUGCAAUUUUUUUAUCUUUUUUUUAUUUUGUAUUUUUUUUUUACUAUAUAUUUCUUAACAAUGAGUAAAGAAAUAUAUAGUACAAUAGAUAACGGUUCUCAGAGAUAAAAAUGUUCAUGCUUUCCGGGUACCCACAGGUACCCGGUUAAUUACGCCAUUUUUAGUACAUGCAGACCACCUCCGAUUAAAAUGGUCAUAAAAAAAUACCCUCUUCUAAACAAUAAUAUUAAUAUAUUUUUUUUGUUAAACCGUAAUAAUAAUAAUAAUAAUAAUAAUAGUAUGUGCCAGGUGUGUAUUAUAUACAUUUAUUUAACACCUAUAUAUAUAUAUAUAUACACUAAUCUAUGAAUCCCCAAUAUUUUGCUGAUGUGGCGUGACCUCCUUCUCCCAAAACCUCUCCCUCCUCAUCUCCCAACCCCCAAGACCCCUCAUCUUUCAAAACCGCUCUCUCCUUAUCUCCCAACCCUCGAGACCCCUCCCCCUCCUUAAUAGAAUCAUUAAUUAGUAAAAUAAUACUUCAUAUUUAAUUAAGAGAUUAAUCAUCAUUAUUAAUCAAAUUGCUCAUAAACUGCUAUAAUACUAAGCACCUAAUUAAUUCAAUAAACUGUCGACCCAUACUUAUGUCUCAUAUGGGGCCACGCAAUUGAACCUAGAUAUACUAUAAGAAUAUGCCUGUAACAUUAAAAUUUUGCCAAUUAAAAGUAACAGUCAUUUAGAGCUCGUGGCUAUUAUUUAUCUAAUUAGUGUUCUUUAUUUUUAUUUGAAUAGGGAUUUGGAUUUAAUUGACUUCUUUUUAAAGCAUCCGAGAGAGCCCCUUUUUAAUUUUUGUAUGCAACGUGCAUAAAUUUGCAAUUACAAUUGCGUUUUACGAGUAGUUAUCUUGGUGUGCAUUAUGCAGGUGAACAUCACUCCUUAAUGCAGAUACAUAUUAUCUUCAUUGUGCCCGUGAGGAGAACCUCUUCUCCCUCGCCCGCCACCUCACUUCCCUCGCCGACCUCGUGUCGAUGCGCACCUAUUCUCUCCUUUGUCGCCCCUCUCCUCUUCUCCUUCCUCCUCAAUCGUCCUUUUACUGAUUUGUGUGCUCUUUUUCAGACUUUUGUUUGCCAAUUAGUUUAAUUUUUUUCGCUUUUAAUGCUCAUUUAAAUUUGUGCUUAUUUUAGCUUUGUCAUUGAGAUAAUAUAUGUCAUAAAAAUUAACUUGGUAUAAGUUUAUUGUAUAAACUUAUUACCAUUAGUAAUAGAUUUGUUUUUUUUUAAAUGCAAAUGACAUUGUAUUCAAAUGAUAUUGUUCUUUUGAGCAUUUUGUCAAAUAAGUGUUCCUUUUAGUGUAUUAAUUUUCUAACAAAUUUAUGAGAGUAGUGAUUAUUAUUUUGAUUUAAGUCGUGGAUAGAGGCUACAACUUCUAAUAAUAUUAUUUUUCAAUUUUUUUUGUUGUACAUUACUGUUCAUGAAUUAGUUAUUUGAGUUACACAAAAAUUGAUGGAGUAAAAUUAUCAAAAAAUUGAUUAAAUUAGCAUUUGCAUCAACAAACUAAACAUAGUAUAUAGAUUGUUGACUUAUAAAUAUAUGAAAAGUGGGCUUUACAAUUUAACGAUAGUUAAAAACUAACUAUUAUUAUUUUUAAAUUUAUUUGUAUGACUAUCAUAUAUUCCUUCAUACUUUUUCUUCUAUUUUUUUACAUUUCGUAUUAAUUCUCUGAUGGCACGACAAUUUAGAUGUCCAUAGACAAAUGCAAUAAUAAUUAGUUUUUAAGAAAAAUCUAAUUUGAAUUAGAAAAGAUGAUAGGAUAGAUAAAUAUCUUUAUAUGAUUAGUUAAAUGUGAAUUUGAGUAUCUUUAGUUUUUCUUUCAUUAUUUAUUAUCCUUCAUAAUAUUUUAAAUAUUUCUUCUAUUUUUUUUUAACGUUUUUAUUUGUUUGUUAAAUCUGUAGUCUGUAGAAUUUUACUAAAAUAUUUUUACCCGUCGCAUCGCGCGGGUCCCUACGCUAGUAUAUAUAUUAAUUAUGGAAGAUAAAAUAAAAUUAAUUAAAAAAAAAACUGUAAAUAAGUCUCAUUAUAAAAUAUUAUAAUACAAAAGAAAAUUAUGAGGUACACUUUAAAGUAAGCAAACAAAACACUCCACUCUUUUUUUUAUUUUCUUUCUUACUCCCGAAGCAACCAGGCUGGUUGAUAGGUGCGACCUCUAGUUGAGCAGCGACUCGAGUUGAGCGACCUCUAGUUGAGCAGCGACUCAAGUUGAGCGGCGACGUCGGCGAUGGCAACGGAUGCGGCUCAAGGGGUGUCAAGUGACUUGGGCGGUGGAUGCUGCGGACGGCGCCGGCUUGGGGCAGCUUCAAGCGGUGUUGGGCGACGUCGGCGGCGGGCACGGCAGCGGACGGCGUCGACUUGGGGUGGCUCCGAGCGGCGACGGCGGUGGGACGCUACUCGGGUGGCGUCAGCGGCGGACGACGUCGGUCUUGAGGCAGCUUCAGGCGACGUCGGCGGUGGCACGGCAGCAGCAGACAAAAUAAGGGGAGAAGCACAGUUCUUCUUCUUCCUUCAUCAUUUUUUUUUAUUAUUUUUUUAUUUUAUAUAUAUAUAUAUAUAUAUUUUAUGUGUGCAACCUAUGAAUUUUAGUGUGCGACUAUCUCCACUCGCACAGCCUAUUCCCUUGAUCCCCUCUGCACUAUAUCUUUUUCUUUUCUUUUUUUUGGGUUCCUUUUUAGUCCCUUUUUAUUUUUUUGGGUUCCUUUUCUAGUCCCUUUUUACAGUAUAUAACGUGAAUGUGGGCAAGUGGAAAACAUGGAUGUGGAUGCCUUUUUCCUGUGCGAUUCCUCCUUCUCGUCCGCCGAUUCUUUGUGCAACGCCCUGACCUCCUCCGCGAUGCCCGGAUCCUCCUCCUGCGAUGCCCCCGGCUCCUCCUCUCCGGUCGUGUGCGAUCCGCCACUCUGGCUUCCUUGUAUCAACUAUUUAUAGAGUUCCAAAGAGCCCAAAUCUGAUGAAGAUUUGCACAAGCUCUCUGGAAUCGUGCAAGAAUUUUUUGGAAAUAUGCAACUGUGCAAAAUUUUUUUGGAAAUAUGCAAUUGAUGAUGUGGGAUUUGUGAUCCCGGAUUUUGCGGAUUUGUUUGUGGGAUCGCAUUGGUCUGAUAGAGAGAGAAGGAAAGAGAGAAGAGAGAGAGAGAUUGCUGUCUCUCUACAGAAGGAAAAAUUCUAGAAUGCACGGGUGCAUUGGUGACGUGGCGUCACAAACCAAUCAAAUAUUUUCUUUUAGAGAUAUAUGUUUCAUUAUGAUUGUAAAAAAAUAUUUUUAUUGUACUUUUGUUUGAAAAGAAGAGAUGUGAUUUGUUUGUUAUUGAUAACGUGAUGCUAAGUGUGACAGUGUAGAAUUCCUGCUACAGAAGAGAGAAAAGAAAAAAAAAUGAAAGGACGUGGAGGCGUAAUAAUUAAAUUGUGUAUUUGAUAUCGACUAUUAAAAUUAUAAAUUUUGAAAUCCUUUGAUCAUUAGAUUAAUAAUGUCGAAAAGAUUUAAAAUUUAGUUUCUAGAUACUUUAAGUGAUAUAGAUCACGUUCAACGGUGUCGAUCGUUGAUUUGGAAGCUCCAUCAUUAAAAACAAAUGGAUGGCAACGAAGUCCAUUUGCUACCGAUAGUAUUCUAUCUCAACUUUAUAUAUCUAUACUAUAUAUAAAAGCACGUAUUUCAAAUUUCGGUCUGUCGACAGACUCAUUUUUUGGCGGAAAAAAAUUAAUUUUUCUUUUCUUAAGUAAAAUAAAUAACAGAAUUAAACAAACCUUAAUUCUUCUUUGUUUCUACAACAGAAAAAAAUUUAUGCUUAUCCAAUUUUUUUGCCUACCGGAGAAUAUCUCCUUAUCUCUCUCUCUCUCUCUCUCUCUCUCGCUCUCUCUCUCUCUUAUAUAUAUAUAUUAUCUCUAUUCUAUCUACUAAUAUUUUAUUACUAUAUUAACUGUUUAAUUUUGAUACUUUUAGUUUAAAAUAUUUAUUUAAAUUUUAAAUUUAUUAGAAUUAAAAAAUAUAUAAUGUAUAUCUAUAUUUAAUGUAUAUCUAUAUCUACACUAUAUAUAAAUUUAUCAGAAAAAUAUUUAAUAUAUAUCUAUAUUUAAUGUAUAUCUAUAUCUACACUAUAUGUAAAUUUAUCAAAAAAAUGUUUAAUGUAUAUCUAUAUCUACACUAUAUAUAAAUUUUAUAAAAAAACUAUAUAAUUAUUGUUGAUAAAAUAUGGAUGUAUUUUCUAGUGUAUAUAAUAAAUAUAUUUACUUUUAAAAAUUGUAAUUUUUUAAAUAAAUAUGAUAUACAAUUUCAUAUUAAUUUAAAAAUAAUUAUUAAAUAAUUAAUUAUUACGUGAUUUGUACGUAUAUUCAACUAGUGCAUAUAUAUAUAUAUAUAUAUAUAUAUAUAUAUAUAUAUAUAUUAUUAUAUAUAUAUAUAUAUAUAUAUAUAUAAUAUAUAUAUAUAAUAUAUAUAGUCCGGCUAAAUCCUUAGAUUUAUUCCAUUAAUUAUUUUCAUCCGUUAGAUCAUACUAUUUAACCAACUACCCACUCAACCCUAGGGGACCACUAUCAUUCUAAGUGGGGACCAUCAUCCUAACCACACAUCCCAUCAAUCAACGGUUAAAAAUUUAUGAGUACAAGGGGGUCUAUACUCAUAAGAGUAUAGUAGUCCCAGCCUAUAUAUAUAUAUAAAAUGGUGGCAACUAUAAACCCUAGCCGUACACCCCCUGGCCGCCACCCUUGGAGAACCCGACCUGUACGGGUCACCGGCGGCGGCGUGGCCGACUCGGGGCUCUCCCCCUUGAUCUCUCUCUAUUUCUCAUAUAGACCGUAAUCAUGGUACAAUAGCCUCCUCAAUCUUGCAAUCGAUUUUUAAUUUUUCGGAAGAAUUUAGUGGCAUAUCCAACUCCACACUAUAAUUUAAAAUUUUUAAAUAAAUAUAAAGCGUUGUGUACAAAGUCGAGGCAAUUUUAGAUGCCGAAAAUGACUGAUGAAACUAGAGUUGACACAAUGAGAGUAUGCAUAGGAGAGAAUAAGUUUGGGAUCAAAGUGAAAAAAAAAUAUAAUAUUAAGAAAAAAAAUGUGUGAUUAAUCCUAAUGAUUAAGGAUUUAAUUGCAUAAUAUAUGCAUAUUAAAAUAAAAAAUUUGACAUGAAUUAAAAUAAAAAAUUGGGAUAAAGAUGGAAACUAAUGGUGCAAUUAAUUAAUAAUUUAAAAUCAAGUUGGUUCAGUCCGUUCGAUCGUGAUCCAGUCAAAUAAAGCGGUUUGGUUCAUUCCUUUGAACAGGAUAAGUAAAAAAAAAAUUGUUUUGAACCCUUCAGACCGGCGGUUCACCAAUCGAAUUCGUGAACCAACCUAGUUUUAAUCAAGCCGACUGAGUUUUUUCGAUUAAGUCAUAUUAAAAUCAAACGACUUAAAAUCAACCCAACUUAUUUAAUUUUCAAUUAACAUUGAUUAGUCUUAUAGAAAGUAAACUUUGAAAUUUUAUAUCUACAUAAUUUAGUCAUCAGUAUGUUGUAAUUAAAUAUAAUAUUUAUAUUUAUAUAUUUCUAUUAUAUUAAAAAUAAAAAUAAUAAUUAUAUAUUUAUGAUGUCACGCUGACAUCAUUUCAACCCGUUACAACCAAUCUAUAAAUCUAUCUAUAAAUCUAUAAUCUAUAAUCUAUAAUCUAUAAAUUAUAAUGAAUUUUCAAUAACUUUGCCACGUGGCAAGCUAUCCUUCACUCUUGCAACCUCUCUUUUGAACCAAAUCGUUUUUCUGAACUGAACCACCCUUUUUCUUUGAACCGAAGAGGUCCUCUCCUCUCUCUUACCAUCCCAUUUUUGAACUGCCUUUGAACCGAACCGCUCUUCCUUUUUUUGAAUCGCCUUUGAACCGAACCAUCGCUCUCUCCUCUUCAUGUUUUUUUUGUAUGCUAUUCCAAAUUGAACCAUACCUCUGAACCGGAUAGCUAUAUUUCCCUCGAACGGUUCUCUCUUCUCCACGUUUUCGUAUAGCGUUUCCUCUCCCCUCCAUCCCGAGUGUCUCUCUCCUCUCUCCGCUGCGCGUUCCCUUUCCUCUCACCAUUUCAUACGAUAGAUACAUCAUUCCCUCUCCCCUCUCCACCGCAUACAAUGGAUCCGAUGAGAUGGAAGCAAAUCUCAUCAAAUCUGCCCUCUCUUCUCACCAUUUCGUAUGGUACAUCGUUUCCUCUCCCCUCUCCACCGCAUCGUCCCUCUCCCCUCUUUAUCGCAUACGAUGGAUCCGAUGAGAUGGAUCCGAAUCUCAUCAAAUCUACCACUCUGCCUACGGUUCAUCUUGCCUACUAUAUUAAUUUUUUUUUUCCUUAUAGAAGUAUGCUAUUGUCUUCUUUUCAGGAAUCCGAAGGUUUUUAGAUGAAACCUGCAGUGGCAAAAGGGGGUUUACAAGUUUUGCUGGCCAAUUUCGAUGAAUGGGUUUUUUAGGUAUCUCUUUAUCUCAUGCUUAAUUUGUGAAUUUGCAUAUUAUAUAUUUAAUGUAGUGAUGAGUUUUGUUGGUUGUUUGGCUAUAUAAUUUUUCGAAAUGCUUAGAUGGUUACUUUCGAAAACUUUUUAAUUCCUAAAAAUUUUGUAGCUUUUUAAUUCAUAAAAAUUUUGUUAGCUGGACAGAUUAUCAUGCUUGUAAGUCAUAUUUCAUUCUUUUCAAUGUUUGGUUAAUCAAAAUAAUAAUUUUAACGAUUGAAAUGAUCGGCUGUGUUAUUGUGGAAGCAUGAAAGCAUGGAAACGGAUUGAUUCUUAGCUUACUAAAUAAUCUAAAACAUUACAGUGGGAAGACACAAUAUAUUAAAAAGGCGUGAGACAAAGGCAUAGGAUUGAGCUCCUCAAAUGAUUCUUUCUUCCUUGAUCCAUCGAUUUGGAGUUAUUCAUGAUUUAUUAGAGGGUAAUAUCAGCCCGCUGAUAAAUAUGUACUAAAAAUAGUUUAUUGCUAAGUCGUAAUCUAAUUUAUUUGGGAUUUUCUAAGAUAUGAGCUUUAAAUAUGAUGAUAUUUGAUCCAAUAUCAGUUACUUCUCAGACAAUGUUAACAAAGAAAAACCACCUGGCUGGAACUGAAUAGAGAUAAUUCCACCAUCUUUACAUGCAAUCGAUGAAUGAGCCUUAGUAUAUAUCAGAUGCAUUUGGUGACACCUUUCAAGUAAGUGUUCUCAAUUUCUUUUUCUUUUUUUAGAGAAAUAAGUGCCCUCAAUUUCAUAUGUCAUUGAUGUGUAAUAAAAUAUCAUGUCACUUUGUAAUAGAAGUGCAAUAGAUAAUAACAUUACAUUGUGAGUUUUCAAUUGAUAAUUUUUGCUCUAAAGAAUUGCAGGAUUGGAUUGAAAAAAUGGCAGAAUAUGUAUAGUUGUGGGGGUGAGGAGGAUGAUCUGAAGCAUCCAAAUAUGCAUGCCAUACACAUACUACAGAGGGUCAAAUGGGCCCUGCCUCCUCUCCCCCAUUCCUAUGCCAUUAACUGUAAUUUACCACACAAACUCUUUGAAUUUUGCUCUUUUACUCCCAAAUCCUGCGAUUACCUUGGUUGUAAUCUCUAGAUUAAAAAAAACAAAGAGAAAAAAAUGGGUCUCUUUUUGCAUAUUUACCCUUGAGAAAUACAUCAAAUACUAAUUUUUCAGGUUUGUCCCUACAAUUACACAUGUUGACAAGGGUAUUUAUGCAAAGAAAGGAAAAAGAAAACGCAAAAACUAUCCAAAUUGGUUUAUUUGAGUAGUGCCUACGUAGUAUUUGAGAGAAUGACUAGGAAAGAUAGGAGGAGACUAUAUUACACUCCUGGUCCUCAAACUAUAAGUUGCACAACACUUUGGUCUUCAAACUUAAGUAUAUGAUGAUGGUAGUAUUGAGGCCAUUUUACAUCUAUCUGUAAAUUCAUGAAGAAGAUGGAUGAUGUAAAAUUACUAAUUUGUAGAUACUAAUGUUUAUUGCAUAUUAAAAUAAUUAGAGAAUGCUGUGAACCAUGAAAAUUGUGUAAGAUUGUAGACAUAUCACGUACCUCUGAAAUAACGACUGUACAAUGAAGGAAAAUACCGUGGAAUUAAAAAUAUUCACACUACAUGAAGUCUAAAGUUUAAUCAGACUGAAAUUAAAUGUUUUAUACCCUGUUUUUCAGUUUUCAGGCAGAGAGACUUUCUGGAUUCUAUGAAGUAUGCAAAGGUGUUUAUAUCGGACGUGAAGAAAUAUUGUUGAAAAUUGAAUAGGUUUGACUUCAAAGCUAUGACUUCAUUUCUAUUUUAUGCAAUCAUCAUCAUCAUCAUUAGUAGUAGUAGUUAUUGUUGUUGUUAUUUACUUGGUGCUGGUUAUUGUGCUCCAACUCUAAAGAUGACAUCAUAAAUUUUCAAUUUAAUUUUAAAAAAUGUAGCCCCCAAAACCAUUUCUUAUGGCUAUAGUUUGAAAAUUAGAUCUUUGACAGUCCGUAAAAAUCAGGUUUGAAAAUUAGAUCUUUUAUUGACAUGAAGAAGUAAAUGAAUAGAAUUCCUCAGUUUGGGCAUUUUUUCAAAAUGCUUAGAUGGUUAUUUUCGAAAGCUUUUUAAUUCAUAAAAUUUUUGUAGCUUUUUAAUUCAUAAAAAUUUUGUUAGCUGNAAAUAAUUACUUUGAUUAACCAAACAUUAAAAAGAAUGAAAUAUGACUUAAAAGUAUGGUUAUUUUCGAAAGCUUUUUAAUUCAUAAAAUUUUUGUAGCUUUUUAAUUCAUAAAAAUUUUGUUAGCUGAACAAAUUACCAUACUUUUAAGUCAUAUUUCAUUCUUUUUAAUGUUUGGUUAAUCAAAGUAAUUAUUAUGACGAUUGAAGGCGCUCGACAGUGUUAUUUUAUAUAUAUUACAUGAUCUUUCAGUUCACUUUUAUUUCUAAAAUCGUCUACCUUUUUUGUAAGAUGCAUGCCAUUGUUGCGGCCCCUGUGGACCUCUAAUUAUCAUGCGAAGAUGAUGAGCUCGAUUUAUAAUCUUAUACAGGAAAGCAAAAUGUUGAAUUUUUGGCUGCUAUCAUUUAUUCCACUUUAUUAUUUUCACACUGUUGUGAUUUAUUUAGAGUUCUGAAGUAACAGUAUGUAAUUCUCAAUUUUCUUUAAUUGCUCUUCAAUUUGUAAAAAUGAUGACUUUCGGGAGUAAAUUGUGGUUUUUGGGUAAAGUGUUCCUUCAAUAUAGGAUUACUAAAAGUGCUUGAGUUUCAAGAAUGCUGCUUUUUUUGGGGUCAAUUUUUGUUGUUAUAAAUGUCAGGUAGUGAUUUUAUUUCUUUUUGAUGCAUCCAAAUUAGCGAUUGAUGAAAUUUUGUGCAAAAUUUUCCAUUGAAAAGAAAUUGCAUGAGACCAAACUCAUUUACGAAGGUUGAUUAGUCAAACUAAUUCACAUUUCUGAUUUCUUUUUCUCAAGAUUUUGGUUGGUUCAUCAAAAGAUUAUCUUUUGAACCAUCAAGUCCCCUACUUUGUUCUUUUCAACAACUCCCAUUAGCGGAGCCGUAGCCAAUGAUGGGAAGGGUAGUUUGACAUUAAUCUUUCUAAGUCGAUUGAUAAAUUUGAAUACUUUCACACUUUAUUCCUAAUGUUGAUUGAUAAGAAUAUAGCUUAUUUUGUAUGAUAUAGUGUCGCCAGUUUUUGCAAAAUUUUCAACAGAUAUCACAAUUUGACUUCACAUAUUUUGAGCAAAAACACAUUCCAUCCCUAUUCCCUACUAAAGUUGAUCAUGUUUUAGGAGGCCUUAAACCAUUCUUUUUUUCUUUUUUAACUUUAAUUUUCUUUUAAUUGACACCUCUGUAGCUUUCAAUUAUCUUAUUUAAUUUUUUUAUUAUGAAUUAAUUUAAAGUUUUUGUUAAAUUUUAUGUUCAAUUAGUUAUAAACCCACAUAGCCGGCUGCUUCUUUACUUACCUCUGCUCUCUGCCAACCUUUGUAAGUUCUACUCCAUCUCUGUCUACUUUUGUGCACUUUGUUUAUUUGUAUACAUCUAUAAAGUGGUUCUAUACUUUGGUCGAUUAUGGAAAUUAAUUUAUAAUGUAGUUUUUUUUUAUCGCAUAUAGUUACGAUAAACAUUAUUCGAAAUUUUAAUUUGGAAUUCUUAAUUGACACAACAUUAAUUUUUCAGAUUAAUACAUAUAAUAGUGAUCUACAGUGCAAUGCUCCAGUGUAAAGCCUUUUCUAUUCUUUAUCUAUAGAAUGCAGAGUGAAGUUCUCAUGUGGCAUGUUUUUCAUUUUUAAGAGAUAGCUCUGUAUGUUAAUUUUUGUCCAAAUUCCUAUGCUUUGGAAUGCUCUCACCAUUUAUUUGUAUACAUUCAUGUUUUCCCAUGCAAUUUCUAUGCUUAAUAAGGUCGAGUUAAGUUCUUUGAUUUUGCUUAGAGUUCGAUACAUAUAUGUAUCUAGAUACUAUGAAACUUUGGAAGAAGAGGAUGCAAAAGCUAUCAAAUUAGUGCACAAAAUGUCAGAGUAUCAAAAAAGUACAAAGAUGCAAAAAAUAAUCCACAAAGACACAGAGGAAGAAGACAAAAUGGAGUGGAGUUCGAGUAGUUUCUUCCUUUUCCUUGAGUUGGCAUGUUGCACUUUUUCAAAUUAUUACUCUGAUUGCCGUUAAGAAUUCUUUGUUUCUAGCUAUUCAGUUAGGUCUUCUUCCCACUUUUUGAAGUUUGAAUUAUGCACUGGUGUGCACUUUUUUCAAGUCUCUUUGGUUUGUAAUGUGCUUGAUUAUUUCUCCAACUAAUUAAUUUUUUGUUUUACCCUUGAACUUCAAUUCUCAAUUAUUUACACUAAGUGCUCAAGCUAUUAAUUUGAUUUAAGUGCAAUUAUAACCAUGUAGGUUCCAACCGUGUUUAACUGUUCAUCGAGUAGGUAGUUCAUCCACUAUGUAACCUUGCGCAACAUUCAUCAUGUGCUGUUUGAAGUCUAAAUUUUAUUUGCUCACUUGGUCAAAAAGUUUUCCUAGAAGGCAUUGAAAAUUUGUUUAAGAAUAUGUGAUUUUCAAAGUGGCAUUCUAUGUUUAAGAGCUCACCGAGGAAGGAUUAGCAACACUUUAGGUUGCUGAUUUUCAAUUCUCUUUUAAAGCAUAUAAAUUAGUGAGCUUUUCGUUUCUUUAUGAUCUUAUUGACAGGUUCUAAUUGAGACAAAAAUUUUGAUGCCUUUUGAUAAAGGGCACUCUUUUCCAUUCUUUUUGAAGGGUCCUCUUCUCAUACUAAUAAUUGGUUUAUUAAUACAAAAUACUCAUGAAAAUUUUUUGUUAGCAAAAUUAAAUCUAAUUUUGACAAUAUGCUACACUGAGAGAAGGUUUGAAUGAGUUCACGUAGAAAAUAUUUGCUUAGAUGCAGUUUCAAAUAAGAAUAUUUGCUGAAUAUUGCAAAAUGGUUUUAAAGACUAUUUAAGAUCACCUUUCUUUCCUCUUUAUUUGGAUGCUUUAAAUAUAUAGUUCUAUAUGUAAUUGUUGGUAAUGCUUAAAACCUGUUAGAUGUCAUUUGGGCUCUGCAUCUCCCCAGUUGAUUGGACCAUGUAAUUCAUUUACUUAUAUUGAGUUUCUUGGCAGUCAUAUAUAUUGCUUAAUUAGGCAAUGUAAUAUAGUGAAUGCAAUUUUGAGUGCACUAUACAAGGAAACAAAAAAAAUGAGAAGUUUAUAGUAUUUUAAUUGCAAGUAAUUUUGUUAAGAAUCUAGCUACUCUGCUAGGUAUAUGCUUGGAAAAGAGGGGGGUAUGAGAGCCUUAGAUUCGGAGAUGACAAGAGUAGUAAAAUGGUUCUUUAGAAGGUUCAGCUCUUAGUUGGAGAAACCAAAUACAAUAUUACAAAAGUAAAAUUAUUCUUUAUAUUGGAUAAUAGAGAGAUCAUAUGAAAAUUUCUUGAAUUUUUCAUUGUUAAGUUAUCUAAGAAAAGUUGAACUUACUAAUUUAAACAUCUAUAUAUAGGACAUUCAUUCCAUCGCAUGCAGAAUAUUUUUUUUAGGUAUUAUGUUUAUCUAGCAAGCUGUUAAACAAGCUAAACUUAUGUCAGUUUGGUUGUCAACAUUAAACUGUGUGUGUUAAGCCUUUUGACUAGGAUUUUUAUGUCUAUUAGCUUAUUUUGAGGUUGAUGAGAGUAAUAGUUGAAAUUCUUCCUUUUUUUGUUUGUCAUUUGCAAUUUUGUGAAAUUUUGUUCAUAUUUGAUGAAUUUUUUAUAUAAAUUAUUGUUUUUUUGCCUGAAUCUAAAGAAAAUCUUACUUGCUCCCAACAAAUAUUUGUAGAUUAUACUGUCAUUUUCAUCAUAAACUAUCUAAUUUCGUUUUUUCUAUAGAAUCAACCCGCCGCAACGCGCGGGUAUCUUCACUAGUUAUUAUCUAUGAUACAGUAAAAUUUUUGCGCCGCUUGUUUGACCGAGUUCUAGAACAUCGUUGAAAUUAAUCCAGCAGUAAGUUUCAGAGGACUGUACGGAACCCGAUUCCCAACCGUUGGACGGACGAGAUCUUCCAAACUCGUCGAACAAUUCGAGCCGACAAUGUGGACGGUCAAGAUCGCCGAGUUAUCUCUCCGCUCCACCACUCUCACCGACCUUCCGGAUGAUGUCGUCGGCCCCGGUGCGGUUCUCCGCCCACUGGAUCUCGUCACCGCAGGUGAGGUUAAGAAACCCCUCACCAUCUUCGAUAGUUGCGCCUCGUCUCCUAUCUCUUCCUCCUCCUCCUCCGCUCUGAAACGAAAUCAUCAACCAAGUUUAGUUUCAGCCUAACAAUGGCGCGUCUCCCCCGAGCUUCACCUCUAGGGUUUCGCCAUGCGGCAGAGCACGUCGGAGAGUUUCCUCUUUGUGCUCGUUUGUAGCCCCCAUGUGCUGCUCCAAGAAUGGUCAUGGUGAGGUGAGAUUGAUUUAAUCCUUUCCAUCCUGAUUGGUUCCUGGGCUUAAUUA
rnacentral:lncRNA from 1 species